AAGAAAAAACUAUAUAAAAUAUCGGCAGUUUGACGGUUCACAGUGAAGGGCACGGCACGGGACAAAGGGCAAUGUCGACGGCUCAUAUUUGCAUUUGGAUUGGACAAGAAGGGACGGGAAGAUGCGAAACACUAUAGAAUAUUGAUUAAUUUGUCCUAAAACUUNNNNNNNNNNNNNNNNNNNNNNNNNNNNNNNNNNNNNNNNNNNNNNNNNNNNNNNNNNNNNNNNNNNNNNNNNNNNNNNNNNNNNNNNNNNNNNNNNNNNNNNNNNNNNNNNNNNNNNNNNNNNNNNNNNNNNNNNNNNNNNNNNNNNNNNNNNNNNNNNNNNNNNNNNNNNNNNNNNNNNNNNNNNNNNNNNNNNNNNNNNNNNNNNNNNNNNNNNNNNNNNNNNNNNNNNNNNNNNNNNNNNNNNNNNNNNNNNNNNNNNNNNNNNNNNNNNNNNNNNNNNNNNNNNNNNNNNNNNNNNNNNNNNNNNNNNNNNNNNNNNNNNNNNNNNNNNNNNNNNNNNNNNNNNNNNNNNNNNNNNNNNNNNNNNNNNNNNNNNNNNNNNNNNNNNNNNNNNNNNNNNNNNNNNNNNNNNNNNNNNNNNNNNNNNNNNNNNNNNNNNNNNNNNNNNNNNNNNNNNNNNNNNNNNNNNNNNNNNNNNNNNNNNNNNNNNNNNNNNNNNNNNNNNNNNNNNNNNNNNNNNNNNNNNNNNNNNNNNNNNNNNNNNNNNNNNNNNNNNNNNNNNNNNNNNNNNNNNNNNNNNNNNNNNNNNNNNNNNNNNNNNNNNNNNNNNNNNNNNNNNNNNNNNNNNNNNNNNNNNNNNNNNNNNNNNNNNNNNNNNNNNNNNNNNNNNNNNNNNNNNNNNNNNNNNNNNNNNNNNNNNNNNNNNNNNNNNNNNNNNNNNNNNNNNNNNNNNNNNNNNNNNNNNNNNNNNNNNNNNNNNNNNNNNNNNNNNNNNNNNNNNNNNNNNNNNNNNNNNNNNNNNNNNNNNNNNNNNNNNNNNNNNNNNNNNNNNNNNNNNNNNNNNNNNNNNNNNNNNNNNNNNNNNNNNNNNNNNNNNNNNNNNNNNNNNNNNNNNNAAAAUAAUUAAUUGAAUAAAUUUAAUAAUCACUUACCAAAGUAUUGGGGGAUCCCAAGAUUAUUUUUCACAAAGUGAAAUAUUUCUAAAUAAUUAAAAAAGCAUAGGAUUAUAACGUAGUGAUUAAAAUUGAAAUAAUUUACAAAAUUUCAUCAUUAAAAUUAACAAAUUUUAAUAAGUAUAAUUAAUAUUCAUUUCAUUUUUAAUAAGUUUAUGGUAUAAAUUAUGUAGCUUAUAAAUAAAUAAUUUUAAUUUAUUACAUUUUCUCAAUUUUAGUUUUAUUUCAUUAUUAAUUUGAAUGAUCAUAAUUAAGUUAUACAAAAAUUAAAUAUUUUUGAAAAUUAAAAAUUAUUUAAAUAAACAAAUUUACUUAAUAAGACAUGAGAAAAUAUUUUUAAAAUAUUGAUAUUUUAAAAUAAUUAUCUUUAAUUUAUUAUUAUUAUUUAUAAUUUUUCCAAAUUAAAAUUAUUCUCUUUUUGCUAUUAUUAUUUUUAUUUAUGAUAUUAUGUAAUUUAAAAUUAUUUUUUAUUAAAAAUACACCUACGCAAAAUGGGAGACCACUUUAGUAUUUUAUAAGGGAAGAAGCGAUCACAUGGGUCAUGGAUAACAUGGAUUAGAUUAGGCCCGCUAAUCAGGUGAUCAGUCAAUCUCUUUGGUUCGGGCCAAGCAUUACUAGGCCCAGAAGGACUCACGAAAGCCCUGGAAUGAAUAAAACAAUGCUAAAGCUAGCCCUCCAAGCCUUUGGAUCAAACAACAAAUAAUGGGUCAAGGCUCUCUACGCCUCCAGAAAAAUGUGCAACAUCUUGUAAUCAACACAGAAUGUUGUACAUGCUAGUACUUGUAAAAUAGCUGUACAUUAGUACACCGUACAUGCCAAUUGGUGAAGAUAUUGAUCAUUACUGAUCUUCAUGUACCGACCAACUAUAUUCCAAAGUAACCAUUAACUUCAAAUGUAAUAUGCUUGCUGUUGAGGGCAUUAAGGACUUGGUCAAAGAUGCUGAUUUGCAUUCUAGUUAUUCAAUGCUUUGGCGAAGGGCUUAUUACAACUAUUCAAAAGCUAACCACUUGAAACUUCUUCCAAACCAUGUAGUUCAUCUAUUUAUUCACUUCAUAUUAAGUCUAAACAUACAUUAAAAAAAAAUGUGAGUAGAACAAAAUUCAGCUGGUUUUUAUUCUACUAUUAUUAUUUUAUUAGAUUGAAGGCUAAGGGGUUGAUAGAGUCGGAUGAUAGACCAAAUGAUAAAAAAUAAAGAGGCAAGUGCUGAAACUCUGUCAAAUUUCCAAGAAAGGAAAUGCCUGUCCUCUUUUCAUUGCUCUAGGAAAAUACGCCCUUAUAUCAAGAAAAAAAAAAUCUAUCUACAAGGCAACUGUAAUAUUCUUUUCUCCAUCCCCUAACAAUAUAUUCAGUUUCAAACAUGUACCCUCCAUUAAGAUCAAUGUCUUUACGCUAUUGAUUGAACCGUUACGCAGUUAAUAAUUUGCCCAAUAAUUUCCCUCUGCACUCAGAAAAUGGCAGACUGGAUGACUUUUUCACCAAGAUAGAAUUUGUUCAAAGCAUGUAAUCAGCAGACUAGUUCAGAUUCCACACUCUAUAUAUGGAGACGGUUCCACGUGAAAAGAAACACUGCAGACUUGGGGGUUGAACAAAAUUAGAUCUGGCCUUUGUUGCUUACUUGGAAAAUUGCCAAUCACAAGCUUCAGUAAGAAUCCAGACCUUUAUGUUGACAUAAAAUCAACACAUUUUAUUUCUGCCAUCAACUCCCAUUCAAUGCCCUCAACCACCCCAUGCUCGAGGCAUUGGUGAUGUUGGGUCUAAAUUAACAUCGAUGGAGUCCAACUCAGUACACUUUAUACCCCGUAUUCUACUUCCAUCUUGGCCCGCACGAGCGGCUGACGAUGGAGAGUGAGGCAGAGGAGUGGUAUCUAUAUUAGCUAGCACCGCCUCGUUAUGUAUUUGAGGCCUACAUGCAACCUAAUUAUGCUGAUAUGAUUUGGAUAUAAGUAACAAUAGGAUUAAAUUUAUCGUCAUCUGUAGAAAGGUAUGGGUGAAACAGAAAGAUUGGACCUCUCCAAAACGCAUUGAUUCUUUUGAUUUGUGACUUUUCCUUAAUGGGGACCCAUACAUUAUAUGGCAGGCUCAUACUAUAAAGCAAAUAAGAUGUGACGCAAGCAGAGAUAGCAGUAUCUGUUUGAGCCUUUCAGAGGGUGGAGGAAGAUCGUCAGCGGGAAAGGCUUUGCGUGUUCCGUCACGUUGAAUAUUUUCCUGCAUUUCCAUGUGCUCCUCAUUGCUGCAUCAUGUUACCAUUAUGGGGGGUUCCGUUGGGGUUUUAGCAAUUAACCACCAUCCCUGGUGUAGUAAGAUGGUGAACAGAGGCACUUAUGCUUCAUUUGACAAAUGGAGAAUUGCCCUGUAAACCAACGUGAAAUAUUGGUGAAAAGGUCGCUUGGGCCUUGGCAGGGACCGUGGUGCGGAAAAGAAUUGCUGAUAAAUUUUGUUUUCCAAUAAAUUUAUCACAGUUAAAAAUAAAUAAAAAAGUGAAAAUAAAAAACAACAUAUUAAUUUAUUUUUAUCAUAAGUUUAACUUUCUAAAGAUAAUAAUUGGUUACCAUACGAUUAUAAAAAAAAGAUCGUAAAACUAAUAGGAAAAUGAAACUUGUGCUUUAUAACUGUAUUAUGGUCUUUUAAAGAGUCACAUCUUCUUGUAACAUUAAAAACAAUACUGUAUGGUUUAAUGAAUCACUUGAUCCAAUUACACGUGAUUGUCUUCCUUCUUGCAACAAGAAAUCACCUGGUGCUAGCAACAAUGAAAAAAUAUCUCAAUGGACAGACAAAACUCAUUUUCUAACAUAGCUUCUUGAGUCUUGACUUCGGUCUUGCACAAACCCAGUUUUGAUUUGAAAGUAAAAAUUCUAUUUUUGCCUAAUCCCUUUGUGAAGAUAUUUGCAACUUGUUCAUCUGUGUUGCAAUAUUUCACAUUGAUUUCUUCAUUCUUUAAAGCAUCUUUAAUUGGAUACUAUUUAACUUUGAUAUGCUUGCUACGAUCAUGUUGUAUUGGGUUCUUGCCAAUGACUAUUGCGGAUUGGUUGUCAUGCUAAAUUGUUGUCCUACAAACUUGUUUAAAAUUCAAGUCAUUUAGAAUUUUUUUUUAGCCAAAGUGCAUGGUUGACAGUUGAGGCACAAUUUCAGUAGAGGAUUGAGCCAUUAUUUUCUAUUUCUUUGAAUUCCGUGCAAAUACAAUACUUCCAAGUGAAAAACAUAAACCUAUGGUGCUUUUGACAUCAUAUGGACAACCAACUCAAUUAUUAUCACAAAAUCUCAUAAGUUCUUCACUUUCAUGAUGGAUACACUUGGGUUUAUAUUUCACCGUUCCUUUGACGUAUCAUAGGACUCGUUUUAUUACUAUCAUAUAAGUUUCAGAUGAUGAGGUUGAAGAGAUAAAAAAAAAGAUAAAUAAGAAAAAAAACGGUAGAGAAAUAAAAAAGUAAAAAUAUUUUAUUUAUUAUUUAAUUAAUUAUUAUAAACUUUUUAAUAUUUAAUUCUAAAUUUUUUAAAAAAAUUAUUUUACUUUAUUAAUAAAGUGACACAUUUUAAUGAGCUGAUAGUGCCAAUGCAUCAAAUAUAAAUUAUAUUUUUAUUAGUUCAAGUUACAAUUUUCAUGUGGACAGGGGUUUUAUCUUUUGUUUUUGGUUGUGUUACUCCUGAUUGGUCCAAGGCAUGAUUUUGUUUGUCCUUGAAUGGGGAUGUUAGUGUGGCGGCUUAAGGGCUUCAGUGGUUUAGCUUUGCAGGUUGUUUUUGUGUGCCUUCAAAUGUGGUUUUGAUGAGGUUAGGUGGCUGCUUAACCUCCUGCUUUUGUAAAGUUGUGAAUGGCAUGAAAUGAAUGUUUUUUCUGUCUAUUAAAAAACAAAAAGUCUUAUAAUUUACAAAUAUUUAACUUAUUUUUUAUAUAAUAAAUUUUGUAAAUAAUUAUUAGUUUAGAAUUAAUUCAAAACUUGAGCCAAAACACAAUCUUAUAUGGUUUAUCCUUUAAUCAAAAGUGAGUGGAUAAGUGCCUAAAGCCAUGAACCAUGUUAAAAGUUGAUUAUAAAUUUUGGAUCACGUAAACCACCUACAAGUCACGAGAUCACUUUAAAAUCAAUCCAAACCCAUCGAUUCUGAAUGGUUUAUGAGUGAUCUUUGGACGUGGAUCAUUACUAACCAUAUGAUCUAGGCAUUCAAAACGCCAAAUACGAGAGUUGCUUGAUUGAUUUGGCCGUCAGAAGCCUCAUAUCACUGUUUUAGAAGUCAAUUUGAGUCGCUUGCAUACCAUCAAUUCUUGUCGUCAACAACGAGUGAAUGCAAAUAUAUAUAUAUAUAUAUAUAUAUAUAAAAGAAAAUAAUAAAAUAGGAAAAUAAUAAUGUCAAAAGAAAAAAAAAUGAAAUAAAAGUACAAAAUAAUUAUGAUUAUUUAUUAAAUUAGAAAAUUAUAUUUUUAUUCUUUAUCCAUUUCUUGAUUAUCAUUUCACCAAUCAAAUAUUAUCAAUAAUAUUUCUCCUGUAUUUCAUUCUAUAAACUAAAUUAUAUAAUAAUAAAUUUUUUUUCUGUUCUAUUUUUACAUAAUAACUCUUUCAGUCUCUCUUUAUUUUAUUUGGCGAACCAAAACUCUUUGGUAGAGAAGAUGUGACAUCCAUUGGGCCCUGAAACUCUGCGGACUCAAUCAAGUUAGCUUUAGACAGUUGUUUUUUCUAUGGAAGUUAAAGAUAAAACGCGGCCGUAUAGGAAUAAAGUAAUCAAACAUGAAAGCAUUUUACUGAGACACGCCGGUUAUUCACCAAUCUGACUUACUUAUUUUAGUCAGAUUAUUGAAACUGAUCCUUGUAAUUAAGCUCAUCACUCGUUUGAUGUAAUUCCGUUCCACCAGGAACGGUGUUUCUUUUUUUUUUGUUCCGUGAACAAAAUCCAGAGCCUUAUAGCUUGAAACUGGUGUUAGGUAAGGUGAGCCUUGAAAAAUUUAUGCUCUGACGCAGUAAAGUCGCUAUCAUAUCAACUAUAAGCCUUAACUCCUUCUCUCAUCAUCUCGUGCUUUGUAUAGGAAAAUUCGUUUAGAAAUUUUCGAGAUAUCCGGCAUUUCUUAUACAGCUUUUGACUCGGACAAAGCUUUUGCGUAUAUGUAAUUAGACGUUACAAACACAUUGGGAUCGACCAGUCCUUUUGGGUAGAUACAGUUAGUAGUUGUAGAUACAUGUGUAAUGUCGGCCCUUUUCUUGUUGCGGUAAUUUCAUAAAAAUCUCUUAUUAAGUGGAAAUUAGAGGAUUUCUAGAACAGUCAAUUUCAUUCGAUACCAACAAUCUAGAAAGUAUUGAAUAUAAUGUGCUGUACUAGUUGUAUUUUUGCUACAUAAUUAAAACUUGAUUACUACGAUACUUGCUGGCUUGAUUUUCAUAAUUAAACAAAUGAUUUGAUUAGUUAUUCUGGGGCCUUUUAGGACCUUUUGGAUGUUGUACUUAACUUGACCUGUCCAGGCUCAAACCUAACAGCUUGGUGACUUUUCAAAUGAUUGAUCUUAUAUCUUAAUCUAAUCGGGACUGUUGAUUGUCACUUUCAACCAAUCAAAACUCGAAGGUUUCUCCAUACGCGGGAGUCGGGACCCCCUUCAAGCCAGGGGCAUUUCGUGAAAUAUAUUUUUUCAACGUACAAACCAAACGGGUAAGAAAAACAUGGGCAUUUUCUCGUGAACAGGAAGCGCCAGGAGCGUUGCCGUUGUUGCUGUGAUCCUCGCAGUUCACAUUCAUCGCCACCCUCUUUUCUCCACUCUUUUUCUCUAUGAACUUUGAAACCCAUUUUCUAACUCUAUAAAUACUGAAAAGCCCUGCAGGAAACAGAACUUGAUAUUUUACAGUGUGAAAAUAAAACGUGUGCAUGAUCAGGUUUCUAGGGCUAGUGAAAAAUGGGGUCAGAGGCAGAGUGUGAAACAACUUCUACACCAAAGCUUUCUCUAUAUUCAUUUCCUAGUAAGGCAAAAGAGCCAUCAGGGAUGAAAACACCGCCGAUCCACACCUCAGUUUCGAUUCCGUUCCAGUGGGAGGAAGCGCCAGGCAAGCCUAGGCCAUGUCCCAGAACUGAUACUACCAGUACUCAAUCAAAGCCCAAAAGUGCAAGAUGCUUGGAACUGCCUCCGAGGUUGUUAGCUGAGGCUAAGGUUGCCAACAUGCCAUCUCCAACAACGGUCUUGGACGGGCCUGACACGGGUCGGUUUGUGUCUUACACGUUGUCGUUUCGAAAAGGCGGGUCUUUUAGGAUCCCGGACAACAACAAGAGGUUGAAUAAGGACAAGGUCAUCUUUGGAUCGAGUAGGUGGGGGAGCUUUAGAAAGGCUGGACGAAUUGUUCAGGGAAGUUUUGACUUUUCAUCCACUCCCGUUGUUGAUGGUGGUGGAGGCGGCAGCAGCGGUGGCGGUACACAGGUGAACAUCACAAGGGUUAGGAGGAAAGGGAGCUUAUUAAGUCUUGCUCAAGCUCGGCCACAUGUCUUGGUAAGUACUAAAAACCAGCUUUUCAUUGAUGAUCUGUUCUCCUAUUAGUUGCUAUCUCUUUGCCUUUUUUUUUUCUUUUUAAAAAUUUCCACGUAAUGUUAGGCAUAAAAGAAACAAUAAUAUCUGAGAUCAGGUAUUGUCUUUACAUAUUUUACAGUUCUCAGACUUCCAUCUGAUACUUUUAGAUAAUCUCUAUAUCUCUUGCUGAUGAAAUGGUUUUUCUGUUCCCUUCUUACUUGUAUAUAUCAGAACUGAACUUCCCGUUUUAGUUUGUUUCCUGGAAGUAGUUUUGCUAACCUUGACUCUUUUACUUCUGAAUUGAAGCACCAAAUUAUAUGACUUAGGAGAGGUGCUAAUAUCUGUGAGAAUGAUCUACGGUUACUAAUCUUUAUUGCCAAAAAAGGGGGCAAAAUCCUUUGGUAUAUUGUAAGGCUAGUACAAUUAGACCGCAUAUCGGAUAGUUUUAGACAGGUGAACUGCGCAAUUGCUCUUCAUAUUCACAUUCUAUUACUACCAUUAUCUACCAAAUUAAUGAGCAUUUAAUUUCGGUGCCAGCAUUCUAGAAGUGACUCAACCCCAAUGUGAAAGGAAUGGGCAAAAGAAAGUAUUAAUCUAUUAUGUGCAGAAAUUGAUAUAGCUCCUCUGACUUUUCAAAUGUACUCUUUCCCCUGACUUUUUAGUUUUCUGCUUCUUGAUGACUAGCUAAUCAUUCAACAUAUAUACAUAUAUAUAUAUAUAUAUAUUAUAAAACUGCAGGCAAGCAUUUAUGAAAGCUUUAAGCAAGUGGUCCCAUGGAGACGGGGGCAGGAGAAAAUAAAGAAAAAGGGGUCGUGAAUGCAUUGCCACCGUCUGAUGUGUGAGAUCAGUUUCAAAUUUUGUAUAGGAAAAAAAUUGAAAAUUUCAAGGUAUUUCGUUGGUCUCUUAUUAUGUAAUAGGGAAUAACUUAGAGCCCUAAGCUUCAUAAUAUGUGAUGGAUCUGAUGGUUUACUUGGCAUAAACCAUUGGGCAGUUAGGUUUCAUUUGUUCCUCAUAAAUGAGAUGGAAAUUUAAUCUCAACCAUCUGAUAUAAUGUUGAUCAAGCGGGUCUGGUACUGAACCACUAUGGACAAGGUAGAUCUCUAAUGUUUUUGAUGUAUAUAGUAUAGAUAAACUUCUGAGAUUAUUACCAAUUGAUAAUGCUAAAUUCUACCAUGUAUACUUAUCCAGAAACUUUGAUUUGGUCAAUUGGUAUUUCUGAUCAUAAAUUUCUACAAAUGGUUAUGAUUCAAACAUAUACUGAUCAGAGGCAGCUGUGGUGACUGUACUAUAUAUGACAGAAAGUCAACACUAAACAAAAAAGCAUUGCGGUCAAUAACAAGCGGCUAGGGACCUUCUUUUCUUGUAAUUAGCUUUGAAACAAGCCUGCCUAAGCUUCUUUGUUCUCUCAGUCAAUUCCAUAUCUGGCAGUUUUUCAAGCAGCCUCUUGUGGUCCUCCAACAUCAUUAUCUCGUUAGUCAAUCCAAGCUCCUAAUAUAAAAGUAAAAGACGAAUGAGUUCUUGACUUGUAGAGUGGAAUACCCAUUGUUCUUGUCCAAACAAAAUGAAAUAUUACAAGCAUGCAUGCAUGUAUUUAGACAUCUAUCUAUAUAUAUAUAUAUAAACAGACAAUAAUUGUAUAGAACAAGUGUUCAGGCUAAGUGAUAGAAUUUGGUGAAAGCUCACGCAUAUGGGCAAAGUUGAGUUCUGUUAAUAACGGCAAAAUUAACACCACAAACAGUUUCAGGGGUUCCAAUUACCUUUUGUUUAAUGAGUGUCUGGUCAUGUUCGAGACUGUGAUAUAGCCCUUUUUUUUUUUUCUUUAGAGGAAAGUGACUAUGAUAUAACUACUACACCCUUUUUGAGCCUAAGCUAAUAUAAUAUACUAAAACUUAAAGGUUCUUUUGCGAUUUAAUUUCUUGGUGGAUGCAGGUAGAACUACAUGCAGGCUGUAGCCUACUUAGCCUACUUUCACACUAUUGUAUCUCGAGUGAAUAUGUUCAUGAAUAACGAAGAACAAAACUUUGAAUUAACCAAAGGUUUCAUAAUUACCAGCUACUUCUUCAUCUCAAGCAUAUAUUGGUUCCACUCAUGAUAUAUAGUUUAUCCGAUUCAAGUGAAAUGUGUGUACACUAAUUUAGAACCAGAAUUUGACUGUAAACAUAUGCAUGCAUGUAUAUACCUUGACAUUGUUAAUGAGGGCCGUCAAGCUCUUGAUCUUCCUAUGAGGCCAUCUCAUGAUGUUAAGUUCCCUGCAUCUCUUCUUCAACACAGUCAGCCCCACGUUCAUCUCUUUAGCUGCUUUCGAUAUCGGGAAAUCGAAAUACUUCUGAAUCUCAUCUAAUUCCAAUGGGGCAGUCCUCUUCCUUCCACUAAUCCUCCUUUGCUCACCAUGUCCGCUCGAAGCUCCAUAAUCACUUUGGAUCACAGUCAAUGUUUCACUUGAACCACCAAUAUUAGUAAUAUUGCCGCAAUAUUGCCCCAACGGACCAACCAUUGCCUUUAGUGGCUUUGCGUCAACCAGGAUAUCUUCAUUCAGUGAUGGCAGAGUACUGGUGUUCUCAAACAAGGCAAAGUCACCGCUUAUAUCUUCAAAAUCCUUGAACUCAACAUAAUUGAUUCUGCCAGGCGGUGCGAGUGAAUUGAAGUUAUAAUCAUUGAAGUCGUAAAAGCCGUCCACUUCAAAAGUCAGUAAUUCUAAAGCCCUGCAUAAAGAAAAAGACCCAUUAAAGAAUGGAAAUCUGUAAGUCAAAAGACAACAGUAAAGUAACAUAGAACAUUAGGCAUAUGGGCAUCUUACGUUCCGAAUGGGUUUUCUUCAAAGUUGAACCAGUCAAAAUCAGGUGCAUUCACCAACUUUGGAAAAUUAAGAUUCGUAGAAUCCAUUGAGAGAUAAGGAGAGAGAAACGACGGGGGUAGGAGUGGGGGUGGAAAAAAGGGCGUUUAUAUAUAAACAGGAGGGGGAUGAAUUAUUGAAGUUUGUGCACACGUCUAAUGAGUUACACAAUUUUCAUGGAAUGCACUAAAUAUGAUCAUUAAUUAGUGAACAAUUACCAAUCACUAAUAGGGGCGCUGCAUCAUGAUCAUCAUCAUUUAUCUCUCUUUAUUGUCCUUUUUCCAAAGAUUAUAUCUCUUUGAUUUUACACCUUGCAAUUUCAAGCCAUAACCUUCCAUCAUUUAUCUCUCUUUAUUGUCCUUUGCCAAAGAUUAUAUCUAUUUGAUUUUAUACCUGGCGAGUUCAAGCCAAAACCUUUUUUAUCUUUGUGUUUGCAGUCAUGCUUAACAGACCCUGUAAACUUGGUAUCUAUUUCUAGUUCCUAUAUGAAAGGAAGUAUGUUCUAGAGAAAUAAGAAAUGAACAGCUCUUGCAAGAAGGGGGUUUUUUCUUUAAUUUAAGAAUUUUUUUUUGGGUUUUUUCCUAAGAAAAGGGAGUGAAAAAGAAGAAGUAAAUGAGAGGAGGUUAUAGAACGAUUAACGAGGUUGAGGUGAUUAAAUUCAAUUAAAAAUCGACAUAAGUGAGAUAGUUACUAAUUUAAUGACUUUACACCCCCCUCAUCUUUAUCUUCAUCAUUUUAUAAUCUUUAAAAGUCAACAUUAUUGAGAUACUGAUUCGGGUUUGGCUGUUUCCAUGUGGUCAAUAAUUGCUUAUAACUCUUAAACUGGAUAUUAUAGGUUUAAUAUUUGAUAUAAUAUAUAAAUAAAAUUUUAAAUUAUUUAAAAAAAUUCAAAUAAACUAUUAUACUUUUAUUACAUUUAAUUAGACCUUUAUACUUUUAUUUUGAGUCAAAUAAACUCUUAUGAUUAAUUAUUAAUUUAGUAAAAAUGUCAUUUGAUAUUCUAUAAACAUUGACGUCGAAUAAUAAAAUUUCAUAAUUGAUGAUGAUAUAACAUACUAACAUAUUGUAAUUGAUGAUAAUAAGACAUAUUAAUUUGAUAUGAUAAUAUGAUCAUAUGACAAUUUUCACUCUCCACAUCAAUACCGUGUGGAUAUAAAAUGAGAAGUGUCAUUUUUACUAAUGGUAAUUAGUCAAUUAUAAAUUUUAAAUAUUUAUUUAAUCUAAAAUAAAAAUACAAAGACUUAAUUAAACAUAAUAAAAAAAUAAAAAUUAAUUUAAAAACUUAUUUGAGCAUUAUACUGUAAUAGUUUUAGAGUUACAUUACUAUGUUACUCUUCACCUAUCUUUCCAUUUUUUUUGGGGUACAUUUUGCAAUUUAAAUCUUUGUCUUCCAUUGCUAUGGGCCAAAUGGCGGUAAAGCCCUGAUGAAAUUGGGUUUAUCCUGAAAAGCCUUAAAUGUGAAAAUUCACCGGACUCUGACCACUAGAAAAGAAAAGAGCCCAAGAAAAAUUGGGUCCGAAACUGGACUGGGUUGUUGUGCAGCCCAAUGAAUUUGUACACCGACUGAACAUUCACUACCACAAAGAACAUAACAAAGGAAAGGAGAAGCAAGAGGACAAAAGAAAAGAAAAGAAUCAAUCUUUCCACGCCUCAGUGGGACCUAUCCCAAUUUCCCACCAAUCACGGCAUUGAUUACUCCACAGAAUGCAAACUGGAUUAAACUAAUCCCACCACUACCGAUCGCGAAUUCAAAAGUAGAAAGCCUAAUUCCACGUCCAGGGAAAGAAAAUUCUUUAUAUAAUAAUAAACAGUAUCAAAGGAGGCUUCACUGCAUGUUCAUAUGAUGAUAUGCAUAUAUUUUGGAAUGAAAAAUAUCACUCGUUUUUCACUUUUUUCCUACCCAAUCUAAUCUGCCUAUAUAAAGUACAGGUGGGUGAAGACAAAGAAGUAAGUAUUGGCAGUGUCUUGGGGAGCUUGGCCGUUCACAUAUGCACGACCAAACCAUGAGUGUCUCUGAGGCCACGGCUUUCAUUUAUUUUAUCUUAUUAUAUAUAAUAUUUCUUUAUUGGACAUAACAUUCUCACUCCGACAGACACAUAAAUAAAUGUCUCUUAAUUUCAAGUUACAACUCUUAAUCCUCAUUCCUCGCUGCUAUUAAGCAGAGAAUGGCAUGUACGUAAAAGAAGCAUUUGUCAUAUGAAUUCGUACUGCUAAAACUAUAUUCAGAAGUUCUUAGAGGUUUGUUCCUUUGCAUUUAUAUUUGUAGGACUUAGAACAAGAGGGAAGGGAAUCGUUACUCGUUGGAAUUUACAAUAGGCUAAGACUCAAGCAUGGAAUCUGUUUCGGGAUCGAUUGAAGAAAGCAGCACAGUACCAGCCUCGCGUGCCUUCUAAGGGCAUAGUUUGUGUCCUAUUUGGGAGAUGCUAUUAGUGCCCACCUCGCCUCCCCAUGGUGCCCAGUCCACCAAAACGUGCGUGGGGUUAGGACUUGGCAGCCUUGCAACAACAGUUUUUUGACUUUAAAAUGGGGAUGGUUGAUAUGUUCAAUCACGGCUGUGGAAAUUAAACCAUCAGUCCCCCCGCAACGGGUGGGGAAAAGAGAGAUAUGGGGUCCCCCAGCCAAUGGGGAAACCAGAUACAAACCAUCAUGGUAGUGCAGCACUUCUGCUAUAAUAGCAAGUCAACGAUCUUAGGUAUUUGACAUGCUCCCAAGAAUUUAUCAAGUAAAAAAGUCCAAAUAUAUAACUUAAAAUCACAGUUGAAUUCAAAAACUUAAAGCAUCAAAUCAUGGAUCAUCAUUAUAUAUAAUUCUUUUACUUUAGUGAUUUCCUAGAUUUGAGAACAUAUAUAACACCUGCUCCCAUGAAUGCUGCAAACUUUUGCUUUCGCUUUGGUUUAAGUAGUGGAAGCAACCUUCAAAUCAAACAUUAGUGGACAAACUUGAUCACUGAAAAAAUGUCAAAACAGGGACAUAACAGAAGAAUUUGGUUAGUCAUUAUUUAUGUCAGACAGGAACCUGUAGUAAAUAAAUGCACAAGUUUCCUAAUCAAACGGUUAAGCUGGAUCUGUCGAAGUUCUCUAAAAGUCCAAGCAUAACCAAAUACAAAAGCCCUCCCCAUGAAAAGAGGAUUAAGAUUUUGAUUAAAGAAGUGAUGAGACCUUGUUGUUGGGUCAUGUAAUUAUGGCUCAGAAUGGGACCAUCAGACCGGAUAAAAAAAACAAUACACUACUACUGCAGAGAAAGUUGGUCCCACUGGAAUGGAAAAUAAUGGGAAACUGGGGUUGCACUAUUCCGGCUUUUGCUUCCAAAAGGAGCUGGCUUUUGCUCUUCAAAAUCAAAUACAAAAGACGUGCUAACCUUGUUGCCUGUCGCUUCUCUCUUGUAUUCUUGAAACAACAAUAACCCCGCUCUUUUUCUCUCUUUUCCUUUUGGACUACUGCAAGUUCUUGCCUUUUACGCAGCUCCCAAGCUGUAGACGCCUAUGGGUGUUGUCGUUUUCUAACCUUUGGUCAAAAAUUUUUGCACCAAACUGUAUCAGUCCCCGUCAAUCAUUUAGGCCUGUUUAUGUCCUAUUAGGCCUUGUUUAACUUCUGGUGAUUUUAAAGGUUACAUGGGAGGUGAGUCUCGGCUCAUAAGUUCAGCUGCACAACAAGUGGAAAGAAAAGAACAAGCUUGUAUCAGAGGAGGUUAGUCUCUUCAAUUUUACUCAUAUCCCAGCUUCUAUUUUGGUAGCUUCAUGUUUCUCAACAUUUAAAAACAUCAAAUUGAGAAGAAUGGGAGAAGGCGACACAAUAAGGCGAAAGCCUGUUUUACCCAGCUGAGCCUGAUAUAGAGCUAUUCGGCUUACUUGAACUGAAAUGACCUCUUCACCUUCUAAGAACUAGCUCAACAUACACUGAUUCACUUAAGAAUUUCCUUUUCUUUUCUUUUCUUUGGUUGUCUCAGCAAAUAAAGAGAGGGUACGGAAAAUUUCCAGCUUUUGGGUUUUUAAAAAUGUUAAUUACAGUUAGAGUAUUGCUGAAGAUUCAGACAAAAUGAGCUUUUUUCCAGUAGUAGGAACUGUAUCUAAUUCCAGCAUUUUAGUUGAUUAUCUGUCGAUUUGUUUUUGCUUUCUGGGUAGUGGCACAAAUGCAGCAACUGGUAAAGUGCUGUCAGGCUUUUAUUAUUUGUUUUUAUAUUGCUCAAACUUGGUUAGAGCUUUGGUAAUGUUGGGUUGGAAUAAUUGCCUUUUGUAUCUUAUUAGUUGUAACUUAGUUUUGAAGUGUUUCAGUCUGUCUACAAGUUUCAUGCUUGCUGUUGUCAUAUUGUUAAUGAUUCUUUGUGGUUCUUAUUUCAAAAUUCCCAAGAUUCAAAUGAGUUUUUCAUUUUGACUCUCUCUCUCUCUCUUUCUCUUCCUGACGCAAAGACAAGCAUCUGUUGCCAUUGAUUCUUUUAAGGGUCUUUAGUUUAAAAUGCUUAGGGAUAUAAUAUAUGUGAUUCAUAGUUUGGUUUGUCAGAUGUUAGAUGGGCUACUUUUCUUGCUGUUCCUUUUUCCCCUUUGCAUGAAACAUAAUUUUUUUUUUUGAAAGGGCUUGAAACAUAAUUUGGUUAUUUUGAUUGUUGUAGAUUAGGGCAUACUCGGUUCAAUCUCCUUCACGGGUUUAAUGGCUACAGCUGCUGCAAUGCCCAUGUCUCGAGAAGCAUCCAAUUAUGAUGAGGUUUCCAUGCACCAGAGUUUGUUGUUCGCUGAUAGUCUCAAGGUACCACAGUGCUUGUAUUUUCUCUAUCAGUUUAGUUCUUGGGUUUGCAAGAUAGACUCUAAGUGGCUUUGAGGAUUUAGGAUCUCCCUUAAAGCUUAAAAUCUUUUUUUUUUUCUUUUUGUCUAUAUCCUGGUCAAAAUUUAGCACUUUUAGAAUGUAUGCUUUAGCAUUUUGAAGGCUCAGUACCUUUUCUACUAGGCUAAUUACCAGCAUUUAAGCAUUAUUUAUCCUAGGAAUAAACCUAAUCAGGUUUAAAAUUUACUGGUGAAAAAGACAAUGUUGCAGGAUUUGGAACCAAAUCCCCCUUCUUGCUCCUCUUCUGUACUACAUGCUGAAUUGUGGAUAGGACUUACUUUACUAACUGAAGCUAAAUCAAUGCCUAAUUUGGGUGAUUUUUGUCUUAAUACGUUAAGUGAUGGAUGUUUCUCAAGGUUGUUAAGUCCCCAUUGAUGCAAGUCAAGUGUCAAUGUGCACCCAUUUGCCACUUUAUCCUGCUACAUAAUGCAUUUAAUUAUCAUAGUUUUCUUACAUCUUGGCUUAAUUUCGAGUGCAGUUGUCUUUCUACACUGGUUUUCUGAUACAGUUUCUUUCCAGGAUUUGAAAAAUCUGAGAACACAGCUCUACUCAGCAGCUGAGUAUUUUGAGCUGUCUUACACCAAUGAUGACCAAAAGCACAUGUGAGUUACUAUGAUUUCUUAAAGUUCGUGCCUCCAAUUGUCGGUAUUGGAGUUUAUUUACUUUUUUUUCUCCUAUUGUUGUUUAAGAAGAACAAUCCUCAUGUAUAUGCAGAGUUGUGGAAACAUUGAAAGAUUAUGCCAUCAAAGCUCUUGUAAACACUGUAGACCAUUUGGGUUCUGUGACAUACAAGGUUAAUGAUCUUUUGGAUGAAAAGGUUGAUGAGGUUUGUGGAACAGAGCUCCGGGUAUCUUGUAUUGAACAGGUAAGAUCGGAUCAUUUUCAGUACUUAGUGAGAUAACUAUGAGACUACCUGUAUUUUUGUAGGUUUCUGUUGUGGAUGCUUUAUGUAGAUAUAAAAAGGGAAAUGAUUCACAGAUCUUUUUUGUAUUGAAUGUUACAAUUUUUGACAUGAUUGGAAUCACGAAAAAAGAAAUUUAAUAUGGUCAGUAUAAUUCUUUCUUGCUGGUUGCUGUCUGAGUUUGCUCGAAUAUCUGAUUUAUAAAGAAAGAUCCCAGAAACAGGACCUCUUUCAUAUUUUACUUAUAAUUUUUAAUAAUUAAAAGCAUGGGGGAUUAUGUAUGGAUGAUUUCAUUCUAGUCAAAACACCCGCUGUUCCUAUGCCUUAACAUUUGAUGGUUUACAAAGUACUGAAAUUUUCUGUACUUUAAUGUGCUAUUAUAGAGACUAAGGACAUGCCAAGAGUAUAUUGAUCAUGAAGGAAUUUCCCAACAGUCACUGGUGAUUAAUACACCAAAGUACCAUAAACGGUACAUCUUGCCAGGCAAUUACCCAUCUCUAUUCCUUUUACUCAUCAUGUUUUUCCUAUUUUUUAACAAUUAAAGAGAUAAGGAUAUUUGGAUGUUUACAAGUCUUUAAUUAAUUUUCAGUUGGGGAGACCAUGCAUGGUGCAAAUCGUACAAAGUCAAAAUACCUAGGAUGCAGCCUAGAUGAUGAAGAUGACUGGCAUCAGCUUAGGAAUGGUAGUUGCUCUGUCUUUCCUUUUGUAUAAUUCCUUAUAUGUUGGACGAGAUUCUAAUGUAACUUGAUUCUACUUGUAAUGAUUCCUCUAAGCUGUUCGAGCUACGAUUAGGGAAACCCCAACAUCUUCGGUCAGGGAAACCCCGACAUCUUCAGUCAGGUAAAUGUUUCUUUUGCACUGCAUUAAUAACCCUAGUUACUUGACACUGUAAUUAGGGGCAGUGAUAUCAAUUAUUUUAGUAAUGGUUGUUGCAGAAAAGGGCGUUCUCCAUCACCUUCUCCACAGCCUCCAGGCCCUCCACAGCGAUCUGCAACCUUUUCCUUUACUGCCACCAUGCCCAAGAAAGAACUAGGUUGGGAUACAUAUUUGACUUUAUUAUAUUCUCUAACUGCAAUUCUAUGCUUCUUUUCUUUUUUCAUCUUGUUACUUUAAGACCUUUUUCAGUUAUGAAUGCAUGUAUAUGCUAACUGAUGAUUUUUGCACUUAUUAUCAGAGAAGCGAACAGUCUCGCCACAUAGAUUUCCACUUUUACGUUCUGGAUCUGUUAGUAGGCCUACAACCCCAAAUAAGAGCAGGCCGACUACUCCAAAUUCAGCUGGUGCAAGGCGGCGGGUGAGCAUGCAUUAGUUACUUCAUAUGCAUUGUAGUUUGAAGAAACUGUAUAACCAUUAACUAAAAUAUGUCUGGUUAACUCGGAGAAUACCAACUAGUCUGUCAAUGAAACAUUGCUACACAUCUUUAAAAGCAUGUUAAUGUCAAAGACUAAUUUAUACAGUGUUAAUGAUGCUUAUGAGUUAUAAUUCAUUCUUCUCUUUGUUCUUUUUCUAACUUUAAUUUGCUUUUCAUUGACAGUACCCAUCGGAGCCUCGGAAAUCAGCUUCAAUGCGUCUUCAAUCUGAGAAAGACAGCCCCAAAGACAUUGAACAGUAUCCCAGUAAAAGUAAAAGACUCCUCAAAGCAUUGCUUAGUCGUCGCAAAUCAAAGAAAGAUGAGAUGCUAUACACUUACUUGGAUGAGUACUGAGUAAAGAGAACUACAAGGCGGCUGAUAGAGGGGCCAACAAAAUGGCUAGUGAUAGAGGCAUAGAAAAAAGGGGGUCAAGGUAGUGAGGAAAGACUCUGGACUUGCUCCACUUUUUUACUUUUUCCAGUUUCCUUUGUCGUUUACCUUUUUCUGCUUUGCCACUUUUCUUUGCUUUUUACAAAAAUAUUCCAUGCUGUAAGAUAAUUGUCAUUGUGUAUUAUCAUUACCACUAUGAUUUUGCAGCCCACGAGCUAUGUAUACUUUUUCUCUAGUAUUCCACAGUUGGCCUGCAAUGAUGUAUUAUCAUUGUUGAAAUUGUAUGCGAUACUGAUCGCAACCUUUUUGAAGUUGUAUGAAAGGUUGAAUCAAUUUUUACUAUUUAAAGAUUGAACUUCCAUCAAAUUUUUCAGUGUGUCCUUUGUUUUAACCUAGUUUAAAACAGCUCACAGGUAAAGUUAGCAUCACCACCAGACUUUUAAGUUGUCCUGUCCUAGGUUACCAACUUACCAUUUUUUACCACAACUGCCAGCCAACCACUACCUUCAAAAAGUAGUAGGAGCUGCUGUCAACAUUUGAGAAACAGUGCCUCUUCUCUCCCAUCUUCUUUAACUAGCAAAAAAGGUUAUGAAACUCUGAUGGGUUUUCCAUCUGUCAUUCAGUGAAGAUCAAAUUGAGUCGUUGGAAUAAGAAAUAGCUACUCUCAUCCAAGUUAAUCAAAGUUGGACAUACUUAAAUACGUUCUCUUCAUUCCCAUUUCUAGUAACACAAAAGAAAGAGGUGGGGAAGAGAAGCAUUGGGCAUAGCUUUAUCAAAGUUUCAUAUAUAAAGUAUUCUUUAAACUGCAGUCAAACAUUUAGCUUAGUGAUUGAUGCAUGGUUUAUCAAAGAAAAGGGUAAGAUUCAAGUUCUUUUCAAAUAAACAAAACAGGUAUUCUUUAAGCUGAUCAACAUACAUAGUAAGAACCUAGAAUGAUAAUGUCGUGUGGUAAAGGCUAAAGUUACAUCCAAGUUAAAAUGUCAUGUAUAUCUCCAAAGAUGAAGUACAAAAAAGAAGAGAAAAAUAAAAAUACAUUAAUGCCAACUUGUUGCUGAAAAUCCACAUCAUUUAUGGAAAAAACACAACAAUCAGACAUCACAAUUCCAUUCCUGGCCCAAGCUCUUCAAUUGUUUUUGCGGCAAGUAUGAGUACAUCGACAAAAGCAGAAAAUGAAGCACGAAGAAACCUUGCCUCGACUGCUUCAAAGUGCCUGAUCAUUACAAAGCGAGGUAAGGAAAAGGCAUUAAAAGUAAUAAAGCAUUGAACUGUGAGUUAUUUCAGAAAAUGGAUGAAAUGAGCAGCAAACAGAGAAGAUGAUCUAAUUAGCUCUGCUAGAUAAUGGGUUGAAUGAGUUUUUCCUGCUGAAUUGCCGAAAUCAUCCCAUCAAGAUGUCCAAUUAAAACCUAAGAUCAAUAAUUUUGGUAUUGGUUUUUGGGGAGGAAAAAGCAGAAUAUAUUUUAGACGUCACUACAUGAUAGCUUUACUAACUGCCAUCCGAAACAGUUUUAGGCACUGAAGUUUCUUCUCCCCCUCAUUUUGGAUCCCAUUUGUUGGAUUAUGCAAAAAGUGAUAAGCUUUCCCAUCUCUUCACACACCCACCCUAAUGCCUACAACUCAAUGUUAAGGUACCACUACACCAAAUAGUCAUGAUCUUGAAUUUUAGAAUUGUUGUGAAACUCUGGUAGUUCUGUUUAUGGAUUAUAAGACUGAGGAAAAAACAGGGUGAAAAAAGGACAAAAAAUAAAUAAUUUUUCAAACAUUAUGGAAAAACUUGGAACCAAAAGCUAAACUAAGCCUAUGUGAAAUCAUUAAAAAAGAUACCAAUCAUGCAAUUCCUAUAACAGAGGAGUUUCAAAGUAAUUGUUCAAACUAAGGAAGGUAGUUGGAACUAGUGGUUACACUGAAAGCUUCCCGUCAGAGAUUGACAUUUGCCUCUUCACUUUGUCUGGUUGCAACUGCAUUAGGAAAUGGAAUCAAAUUAGAAUCUGCUCAAAACAACGUCUAUAAUAGUUAUGCCAAUAGAAAAAAAAACGAUUCAGUAUAGUUGAAAGGUGAAACAUUACCUCCUUAUCAACAACCAAUGCAGCAUAGACUAUGGAAGCAUUCUCUUCAGACUCCAAAUCUACCUCCAAAUCACUGCAGAUAAGAGAAAAAAAAAACACAUUUGCAGAGAUAUUACGAAUGUCUCCCGUGCUAUCAAACAAAACCCAGUUCACUGAAAACCCGUAAAACAAGGAGGCAAAGCUAAAACUAAAAAAUUUAACGAAGAAACCACACACAACAGACAGAACCAAAAAAAAAUUAAGUAACCAAGGAUGCCCAUGGAAUUUUCAAAGAAGCAAAAGAAAGAAAGAGAAAAAAUUACCAGCUGAAUUCCCAUUGGUUUGGGGUAUCUGACAGUUCAGAGACAGCAGCCAUGUGUGGUCUUCAAUCUUCCCAACUUGAAGUACUGCGUUGCGAGCAAGAGAUAUCAGCACUCAGCGGGAGAAUCAAUAGGGUUUAUGGAUGACGUCAAGGAAGAAAUAAAGAGAGCAGUUGAUCCAGACCAAUGAAGGCGCAUUUGCUGAUCUUUAGCCCGAAAAUUAGAAUUAUAAGCCCAAGAGGUAGCCCACUUCUUUGUAAAUAAUUUUUAGAGUAAAAUACACAGAAUUAACUUUUAACUAUAAUUUUAUACAAAUUUACUAGUUUUCAAAAUAAUACAUGUAAACGGUAUUAUCACUUAAAUAUGAAAUAUCUAAAAUAUUUUUUUUCGCUUUUUACUCUUUUCUUUCUCUCAGAUCGAUCGACUGAUGACGUUUUUUGCUAGUCAAUCAUCAAUAAAGUAGAUUUUUCUUUUGAAAAAUUAUAAUUUUAUAAUUUUUAAAAUUAAUAAAAGGUAAAAUUAUCUUUUCAUUAUUAAUACAUCAUCAAAUUAACAGUGAUUGGAUUUAUGUGUCAAAUAGAGAUAUUUUUUCGAAAUAGAGAAUUUUUUUAAAAUAUUAAUGAAUCUAUAUGAAAUUAUGAUUAAAAAUUAAAAAGAUCUAUAUAUUUUACCUUAAUUUUUAAGAUAAAAUACUCUUAUAUUAUUAAUUUUGAUCGAAAUUACACAAAAACCUAUUAAUUUUUAAAAUAGAGACCCCCAAAAGUACAAACACUGUUAAUAAAAAUUUAUAAAAAAAUUAAAAUACUUUUCUUUUAUUAAUUUAAAAAAUUAUUAUUAUAUUUUUUUUAUAAAAAAAUAAGGGAGCACCGAUUAGUGCUCCCAAGGGAGGGGAGCACGAAUGCUCCCUUAAGGAGCCCGAUCGGGGCUCCCAAGUGGGAGUCUUUUUUUUUUAAUUAAUAAAAAAAUUAUAUAAUAAUUAUAAAAACUGAUCAAUAGUAAAAUUAUUUUUUACUUUUAUCACGUUAACAAAUUUAUAUAAAUAUUAAUGAUAGAGUAAUUGCUGGAUUUACGUGUCUAGUAAAUUUUUUUUUGAUGGAACGUUAAUUUCAAAAAUUAAUGAAUUUUUGUAUAAUUUUAAUUAAAAUUUAAAAAAUAAAAAUAUUUUACCUACAUUUUAUGUGGACCAGACUCCAAGACCGACCAAGAAACUUAAACUAGACGGACCAAAGACACCAAGUUCUCUCGAGCAUAUUAGGAUAUUCCAGGGGUAUAUGGUAUAUUUUUUGGCAUAAUACUAGAAUGAAUCUUUAUUUCUCCCUCCCUCUCGGCCUCUCCUCCCCCAUGUUGGGUUUUGAAACAGGAAACCUCGGCUGGCAUCAGUAUUUUAGCGACCUCAAACAUACUUCCAGGCACGUUCUCUUUCCCUCUUAUGCAUUUCAAGUAUGAUCUUGUUGUUUCAUCAGUAUUGUCGUCUUAAAACUGUUCCUCUCGGGAAAUUGUUAACCAGUAUUUCCUGUUGCAUGGCAAUUGGCAUGUUUUCAUCGGUUUGAAUGUGAUCCCUUUCCUUUAUUCCUUUGCUAAUAAGCACAAGCUAUCCACUGGUCCACCAAGGUAAAGGGUAAUGCAACAGUUGAAUCUUAUCAAGUACCCAAAGACCACGAAGAAAAAAUGGAUCUAUCAUCCAUGCAAGAAAGGGUUACUAGCUAUUGUAAAUGGUUUAUUUGAUUAAGACUUAGCUGGUUUGAAUCAACUUAUAGAUGCUCAGAUCACAAUAAGCAUAGAAACCUGUGUUAGCAAUACCCAACAAUCCGUUUUUCCUUUCCAGUUAUUUAGCAUUAUAAAACACUACUUCAAGAGAAACAGAUAAAUUUAUCAAUGGAAGCAUGCAUACUUGCCUGCAAGAGACACUCAUUAAUUUUCUUUUUGUUCAAAUACAACGUCAAUUGCUAUUGGAAACAAAUUUUUUUCCUUUUAUGGUCAUAUUUAUAUACUUUUGCUGCUUGGCACAAAAGUAACUUCUAGCUUUAUCUUUCGCUAGUAUAUAUAUAGUAUCACGGGGAGGGCAGGGAAGAGCAUCCUCCACCAACCUAGCAUUCUCUUCCACGGUGUGAUCUGCCUCAAGUUCGGCUAUAUUGAUCUCUUCAUUUUCGAGGUUUUAUCGUUCAAGGUUUGAACAAUAAUAUACAAAUAAGCCAACAGCCUAAUCAAAGGUGGUCGUGCCAUAAUGGUGACAAAUUUAUGAAACCUGCAAAAACAAGAUACGAGCAAUUGAGUCCCCGUUUUGUCUAACAAUAAACCUGCUUUUGAACAGAAGGAAAGAUAAACUCAGAAUUUACCGUUCAAAAGGAGAUUAUGUUAGUGAGGCUCCAACUCUAGCUGGUUUUAGCCUUUGCAGAGCACUUCUUCCAUGCUUUAUUGCUAUCAUAAAUAGACUGAAUAUAUAUAAUAGGUAAAAGUGGAUCUUUCCUAAGAUUAUGUUGGUUGCUCCCUCCAUAAAUGUUCCGCUUGAAGCUUCUGUUACCAGAUAAAGAGAGCAAACAUUAGACAUUAAAAACAAGGUUUAUUUGUCAGAUCAGAUAGGAUAAUCUAUUUUAUCUGUAAUUACCCCCACAAGAUUUCUGUCAUUGUCAUCUUAGUAAAUACCCAGAGCCAUUCUUAUAUCCAAGCAUGUAGUUAAUAGAUAGAGAGAGCAAUACUAAUUAUUUACUGCAUGCAGGUCAUUAUACCGAUCUGAUAAUGCAGGAGAAAAUAUCUUGAUUUUUCAGAAGAAUGCAUACCGGAAGUUUUCUUGGGGAAGUUGUUCCAAUCAUGAGGGCUCAUCUUCAUUUCUGAUGCAUUUAUCAAGUCCAGAAGAGCUUUAUUAACCUGAAAAUUUAAGAGUAAUUCAGUCUAUAAAGGUUCUUUCCACAGGCAAAUACCAUAAAAUAAAACCGUUAAAAAUUCUCAUUAAUCAUUGAGAUAUAUUUUUAGUAAUGAUGGAACACGGUCAAUUUUGUCAAGUUAAUAUUCUACUCUCAUCCAUCAAGUAAGUCAUUUGCACAUGCCAGAAUAUUACUUUCUGUACACAAUUCUACAAGCUCAACAUGAACCUUUUGUUACUCUUUCCCACUCAAAUUCAGUGUUAAAAAUAUUUUCAACUUCUUUUGAAAGUGGCUUUUUAGUGCUUUCCACCAUAGAAAGAUUCUCAAGGUGAACAUUCAUGAUGCCUGAAAUCAAGUGGCUGGCUUCACUUAGAUGGAGAGAAUUACCUCUUCUGUCCUCUCAUGACUUACUAGAUGCCCCCCAUGAAGCUCUACCAUUCUAGCAACGGGUUGUAGCUUCUCUGCAAGCCUCCUCGCAUGGCUUAUUUGAGCAAUGACAUCUUGCCUACACAUUGAGAAUGUUAACUUAGUUCACUAUCAUACAUUUCUCAAGAGAUAAUUAUGCUGAUACAAAGAUGACACUAUAUUGCGGUAUGUGUACCACACAAAACAUAUCAUAGUCACUAUCAAACUACAGCUACUAGCAACUAGAUAUUUUAAUACAAGUAUACAACAAAUACUAAAUCAGCUUACAUCUUGAAUCUUAUUUCAAAAUUCAACUUGGAACUGUUAAGAGAGAGCUUUCAUAAAGUUCACUUUAUUUCAAAAUUCUCCUAUUAGUUCAUCUGUCCACUUUUAUCUUUAAUGUUGCACUAGCAUUCAUUGCCGACCAACCUUCAGACACUCUUUAAAGCACAUUGAGAUUCAAAUUUUAAGAGGAUUUCCCACACUUGAUUUCUAUAUGAACAAGGAGCAGUAAAUAUGAACUAAAAUACACCACAAAUAAUGUGCUAUGUGUUUAGAGGAUUUUAAGGUUAUCGAGAUGAUGGCUCUAGUUUCUUUCUCUCACCACAAACUAAUCCAGUGGGAAAAAAGAAAAAAUCAUUCUUGUCAUAUGUUAAGCGUAACUGAAAUUUUAAAACUCAACUCAUCAGAAAUUAUUAUAUUCAGUUAAUAAAUAGACCGAUAUAUCCUAAGAGAGUUCAAAUAUAUAAGUAUAAUUAACUAUUUUCAGGGUUAUGAAGAUUUAGUACCUGCCAUGAAUGACUGAUACAAGAAAUUCACAUGAAUGGAUUAAUUCAAUUUCUGAUCGUGUCAUUUUAUGUGUCCAGCAUGCAUUGAUUUGACCAUCAAAACCACAGUUAGAUUGCAUGCCAGUUGCUGUUAUGCCUUUUACAUAUUCCUGCCAAGAACAAGCAAGCAUCUUGAUGUUAGCACCUCACAAAGUUGAUCUAGGGUUUAUAUAACAAUAUUAUUGUUGCAAACAAGUUAAUAGAAUUGUCUUCCUAGAAGCUGGAAAAACCUCACAUCAGUGCCCCUGUCAAGCAAUGAUCUAAACAGAUAGCCAACUAUGUAAAUAUUUGACAAUGAUUUCACGCGGGGGCAUGAUAUUAAAAAGCCAGCCUACUGGGUUACUUCUAAAAGAUAAUCAGUUUGGUAUCGUAUCAUUGAGGGGUAUAGAGCAUAUCCAAUAAAAAAAAUUCCUGCAACUUUAAUAUUUUGGAUGAAGUAGAGUAUAUUCCAUUAAGUAUUCAAUCAAACUCAGCUGGGACAGCUAGUUGCAGCAUACAGAAUAAGCAAAAAAAAAAAAAAAAUUGCUUCACUCUAAUUCAUUGUAUAUCUAAUUGGUAUACUGUAGUAUCAUGUAUUCAUCGCAAGAAAGUCAGACCAUCCACUCAAACAAAGAUUACUAGUUUCCAAUGAACAAGGAGUAAAAUUUAUCAGGUCUAAUUGAUUAAAAUGAUUGUCACUCAAUGGCCAGUAUCAACUUUCGACUUCAGCAUUUCUUACUUGAUACAAAAUUGCUCUUCUAGUGUUAGAUCCGACAUAUUCUUCAAGAUACUCCUGCAAUCAGAUGUAAAAUGAGACUAUAUGAGUUGCCGUUGUGUAUUAAAAGAAAAGUUACAUUAACUCAUUUGUUUUCAGAAAAAGAACUAACAUUUAUUCUUGAUAAUUCCUCAACUGAAUUUUAAAUUUGACCUUGUUUGACUCAGAAAGUCUUAAAUUGGAAUAGCAGAUCACUAUUUCUGAGAGGUAUUAUACAUAUGCUAAACAAAGCCUCACUGUCAUUACCCAGUAGAAUCAUCCUAGUCCUCAGAUUUACAUGAAAAUGAAAUUGUUAAUAAAUAACCCCAUUAACAUAAAAAACCAUUACCUUUGAGUAGUGCGUGUCUAAGUCAACCGCUGCUCUUUGUUCAGGAGUCUUUGCCUUUAUAAAACGAAUUGCAAUGGACAGCGUUUUGCGGUCAAACUGCAGCUCAUUACAGAUAGAACUAAGUCAAAAGGUUGGCCGAUGGACAGGAAUUAACUUUUGUGUCGCUGUUAGGCUUCUUUCACAGCAACAAAGAUAUAACAGUGAGAAGUGAUAUCUGGUGAAACCUGACAGAUCAAGGAGUCUUCUUAAAUCAGACUGAUUUAUCCCUCUACUGGAGAGGGAGAGAAAGUGCUUAGCAGAUUAUAAUCACCUUCAACUACAAACAAUUUUUUUUUUGGCUUUCCAAAACUGAAAGUGAGCCUCUCUGUAUUCUACACUUUUGCAAAUGAUUCCAAAAUGUGUCAUAAUCUCUACAGUUUUCAUUACAGUUUACUAACUAUGCUGAUAAUGGAUACACGUACAAACACAUUUGAUCAAGUUUAUGAUAAAAUGAAGACAAGAAGAAAAAGAAGUCAAUUGCCAAGUAUUUGUCUGAUGGGACUAGCAUCAGUGUUCUACAAUUUAAAAAGAAAUUGAAGACAAGCCCGCAGCUCUUAAACACUAAAAAUACCUUUGGAAAACAUUCAAAACCUCCACCCGUUACAUUGAGUAAUGCCAAAGAAAGAAUUCUAUCAGGCACCAUGGCCGCCAUCUUACAAGCAAUCAUAGCUCCUGUUUUCAUAUAAGAAAUUCAAGCCAGGUUAUUAUUAGAAGAAGAUUACAAAUUUUUCUUAAAUAAAGAACAAUUGUAGUUAAUACAAAGAAUCAAUAUCAAGAAGAAGGUUAGUGAAUUCUCCUGGCCUUAAUGCAUUCUUGCAAUGAAAAGUCCAGUGGAUUCACUCUCACUCACCCAUUGAAUGCCCAAAAACAUGGGCUUUCUUCCAGCCCAGAUGAUCCAAUAAGGCAAUUGCAUCUUUUGCCAUAAUUCUUGUCCUGCACUCAACAACCAAAAAAUUUUUUUAAAAAAAAAUCACUUUUCCAGGAUCAAACCAUAGCUAAAAGGAUCGUAGCUCGAAUUAGUACCUUUCAAGUCACUUCCAGUGUAGCAAAUUAUAAAAUCCCAUACUUUAAUCUAGCUUUUACUAAAAUUAACAAUAAAUUUCAUUGUAAACUUCAACAAACAACAACUACAGUUUACCCACAAAAACAGGCAAAAAAAAAGUACUACACUACUACUAUUAAAUUGCAUUAAUUAACGAAAAAACAGCAAAGGAGGGAUUUUGAGAGUCAAAACAGAAAAAGUUAAAAGGAACAGAAAGACUGACGUGUAGUCGGAUUUUUUGGUGGGGACGGAGCUCCGACCCAUGCCACGAUUAUCAAAGGCACAAACCUCGAUCCCACCGACCUCAUUGUGACCCUCGCCGGGUUCCUGAUCAACCGCCAUCGUUUCAUCGCCGUUGGGCCUAUCAGUUCCGGUCAGCCCCUUGAUUUGUGGGCCCCAUGAGUCGUGUGUCCCCGCCAAUCCUGACCAAUCAUCCGCCAAAUAUCAGCGACUCAAAAAAAUAUAAUCAAAAUAUAAAACGAAAAAAAAAUUGAAUGGAAAAAUUAUAUAGCAACCAAUGAUGAGGAGGACUUUGGUAGGGCCGUGACCGUAAGUUCGAUAAAAAAUCUGGAUCCCAUUGUUUAGAGCUGCAUCGACACUGCUCUGCGUUUUUCCCACCUCACAAUACGGCAUCGUGUUCGUGGAGUGGGUUGAGAAUUUAUGUUCCGCGGAGAGAAAAUGGAGAGGAUAUAAUUUUUGGCCCUUUUGUUUUCAAUAUAUCUGGGACUUGUUCAGAUUUCACUGUUCCAAAAUAGACAAGAAGAGAACGGGAAGACGAGAAACGACGAUGCAUACUUGUAUGGGUUUGAGCGGUUGGAUUGGAACACGUGGUGGAUCACAACUGCUGUUUGCCACGUAGGAUAGUCGGUGGGCGCGUGCUGGGUCAAAGUCAUAAUAAGUUGAGAUAAGCACAUGGGAAAAUUGAGGUAGCCCAACCAUCUCCUUAACCAGUCAAAAAUUCGUUAUGUUUGAUUAAAACGAUACAGCCAUACAGGUACUAAUUAUUAGCUUAAUUUAUUAGUCUAAUAUUACUUAUUUGGUUACUCUUUAAUAAAUAAAAAGCUUCCGAAUACGUUUAUAAAAACAUAGCACCUAAAAUAAUUCUUAAACAACUCAAGAAAGGAAAUUCAAAUAAACUUUUAUUUUUUUUAUUAAGUUCAAUCAAUAAAAAUACAUGAACUUAAUUAAAUAUAAUAAAAAAUAAAAUUUUUUUAUAUAAUUAAAGAACUUAGCAUAGGCUCUUGCCCACUCAAAUUAUCAUGACACCUACUCAAGCGCUACAGGGGCACCUCAGCACAAAUUGCCUAGUGUGUUGAUACCAUACAGUGAAAGAAAAUGUAAAGUUUCAUGAAAUAUAUAUAGACUCCUUAUAGGAACUAUUUCAGAAAUACUGAAUCAGUGAUGAUGAUAAAACUACAAAAGCCCUCUAAAGAAAACAUAUAGAACCAUACCUUAAUAAACUCUCUGAAUUUGGCAACGAGUGUUGCAUAUCACCCAACAUGCGCUGGUUUUCAUCUACACUUAACUGAGGCGGACCUUCCCCAAUGAUCGUUGCUAAGAUCAGAGAAGACUUCCUGAAUUGGCCAAUCUAAAGAUGAGGGCACAGUUUCACAAUAGCCGGGCAACUCUAGAGAAGGAAGUUGCCCCUUCCUGAAAUCCUUGGUUAGUGGUUGUGGAAGAUCACAAUUUUCAACGUGCUCAACUGAUUUUUGAGUAACCAUGGAAGCCAAUUCAUCUUUGUCAAUUAUGUGCCACGAUGGCUCAGUCUUCUCAGCUUGCACUAACUGAGAUUCAAAAUCAGAAAAAGGUGUCUUGGGCUGUUUUUAGAUUAAGCUAUUCUGUUCUAAGCCCAUUAGAUGAUCAUCCAGAUACCAGGAAUCCUCCAUAUGCUUAUUAGGUGCUUUUUGUGCAUUGCUAUUGAGUACUGCAUUGGAUUCUUCCUUUUUAACAGCCUGAUCACUUUCCACACAUUCAGCAUAGACCUUCUGUGGAACCUCGCGAACACCAUCUCUUAUACAAUGAGAACUUUCAUCAGAACAAUGAUCCUUGCUAAUUUGGGGACUUUCAUUAAGAAAACCAGCAUGCGAAACUUCAAGCUCAAUCUGCAGGACAUUUAGUUGUGCACACAUAAAUUCUUUUGGGUUCCCAAUGUGGUGUCGCAGUUGCAACUACCACUGAGAGUCAGGAAGUGGGGCCAGAUUUUGGUUAUCAGGCAUGCUAAGAGGGGUAGCCUGACCUGGUCCACUUGCAGCAAGACUAUUGUUCCAUAAGCAUCCAAUCUUGAUGAAGAUGAGGAUGGGCAGCCAGAAAACUCUGAAGCCCUUCAAGCAUCCUCUUCGACAAACCAAGGGUUAGCUGUAUGCUCCCGGGCAGCCCUUGCUUCUGCCGCUGCCAUUGCCUAUUCACCUCCACAAUCUCUGAUGGACUCAACAGUGAAGAAAUUAAUAUCUAAUAUUAUAAGCAUUAUUCAAUGAAACAAUAGAAUCAUCCCCGGUGCACAGUAAGGCACUUUGAAGCUUAAAUUUAGUUCCAUAUACUAAUACCUAAUGAAAAGGCAUAUCCCACCUACGCGGGAAUCUUAAACCUCCAAAAUAAUGAACAGAUUGUAUAUCAGACAAAUACGAAGCAAGUUCUACAUACCCUAUGAACGCACCAAAUGUAAAACAGAGUAACACUUUGAAACCUCAAAAAUUACUAUGCAAGUUCAAUAUAAUGAACGCAGGAAGUAGAACAAACAAACCCCAAAAACCAGUCCCGAAGUUUCUAACACAUACAACGACUAAAAUGAUGCAAAAUUAAACAAAACCCGUCAGAAAUUAUUCCCCAAAACAUUCCAAAACAGAUAAAAAUAUGUUCAUCCAUUGGAAUUCCAUUAUAUUUCCAAAGAUUGACAAAAACGGUGAAGAAAACAAUUAGCAGGUUCGUACACAAACUAUGGCUUUAAGGAAAAUACCUUGUUCGAGGAAUUGGUGGUUUUGCUGGGUUUUGCAUCAAAAGUGAAUUGCAUUUGAGAUCCGAAGGUACAGAGUGACAGGCAGUCUAUCUCCUCCUUCCCUGCGUAUCACCGUAACGAUGUACUUAAACCAGAAGAAGAAGCGCCGCUUCGAGGUGCUUGUACGCUGUGCUUUGAGUAUUGUAACGUGAACUUGUUACUUGUUGCUAAUUUGUUCUUUAUUAUUAUUAUUAUUAUUUGUAAUUAACAUCUUUUUGAAUUCGAUUGUGAGUUUUGCCAAGAUUUUUAUCACUUCUAAAUACCAAUAAAUUACCUUUCAUGAAAACAACAAAAACCACCAAAUAAUAUUGUUAUAGUCAAAUUUUUAAUUGAAAUGAUAAACAACAGGUAUUUUUAGAAUAAAAUGGUAAAUAAUAUCUUUUAAUAAAUGGUAAAUAACAUCUCAACUUUAUUACAUAACAGCAAGAUAGUAACAUCUAGCCUAAAUGAGUUAUACUAGUUAAAAUUCAGCAAAUUUACUGAUAAUUUUCAUUAAAAGUUGUGAAUAAAAUUAAUUAAAUCUUAAUUACACAAAAAAAUCAUAAAUAAUCUAAUUUUAAUAUUCUGUCAAAUUUAGAGAUGUCAAUAAGUAUCUUGUAAUUGAGUAUUUUUACAUCAUAACAAUAGGUUAGAUAACUAGGCAUAGGAGUGGAAUUUAUACAUAUUUUUCUAGAAAUUAUUAUGACUAUUUACUUUCAAAAUAUGCAUUUUACAAAGAAAAUCAAGUCUCGAAUUUUUCAAUCAUUAAUUAUAAUGAAAAUUAAUCUUAUGGCUGAAUUGAAUGAUUUAAUUACUUUUAUCAAUCGAUGUGAUUGUGAUUAAGCCAGAUAGUGGUAACGUAUUCAAUGGUCACGUAGAAAAAACUUUGCUAAAACCAAGAAAAUAAGUUGAUUAAACUUUGGGCCGUGCUAUUUGGACUAAAAAUAGUGACGGUAAGUCAUCCAACAUUUUGCUUCAUUCGGACAUCUUUUCCAAAUAAUUACAGUCUCCACACUUUAGCCCUCGUUUCUCCUUAUUUUUCUUUUUGGCAAUAUAUAUAAGCAGAUGAAUUAUACUAAAUAAAUUGGUAACCAUGAGCAUUAUGCAAUGAAGGUCUAUCAAGCAUAUACUGAGCUAAAAUAAACUUAUUCUUUUACCAGGAAAAUGAGUUGUAUAUCCCCUCCAGAUUAAAGGGAUAUAUAACCAUCCAGAUUAGCUUUAUUGAUAAGGAUAAGAAUGUUUUAAUACAAAUCCUGAGUUCAAUAUUUUCUCUUCUUAUGUUAGGCUACCUAUUAGGUUGUGAUCUCAUCAGAUUAGUUUUGAAUGGAAAAAGUUGGUCAUACGAGUUGGUGAUCUUCACAUGUCCCUCAUCAUGGGACUCUCACCCUAGAGCCCUGGACCAUACUAACCUCUAUUUAAUGCUAACACGAGGCAAUCUUAUUAUUAGCAAGGGAGCAGCAGUUCCAGGAUUCUGAGCCCAUUUUCGACCUUGUCCAUGGUUUCCGAAAAUCUGUAAAGUAGUGUUGAGCACUUCGCGGCAGGCUAUUUAUUUUCCACAUCAACAGUUAGAUCUACAUUUUCCUGCUCAUCAUGAUGACACUUGCCGAAGACGGAUUCAUUAUUAUGAAAAAUCAAAUAAAUUGAAAGGAGGAAGGAAAAAUUCAAAGUCUUAAUUUUGAUACCUAUUACUUGCAGUCAAUCUAUCAAGUCUUUGUCUCAGUUGUCAGAAAUGAUCUUGCGUAGAAGAAGACAAAGAAGGUUGUACAGCCCUUACCUCCCAUCUUAACUAAGUUCUCUUUCUCUCUCCAUCAAAAACAAGAUAUAAUAAACAUAAAUAAUAAUAAUAAUAAUAAUAAUAAUAAUUACUUUUGUUUUUCAAGAAUAAUAGUAAUAAAUGUUAAUUAAAAAUAAAAGAAUAAAAAUUGUGACAUUAAAUAAGGUAAAAUAGUACAAAUUUUAAAAUUAAAAAUUUAAUAUCUCGUAUUUAAAUUAUUUUUAAAAUAGAUCUUUUCAAGUUAUUGAAUUCAUUAUUUAUAUUAGUACUAAAUAAAUGAACCAAUUUACCAACAAAAGUAAAAGUUGCACAAAGCACAAUAAAUGUUUACACUUUACAUGUAACUCCUUUUUUUAAACAGUCCAAUGUCCCUCCACCCUCACCUGAGUACCCGAGACAGGAGAGGCUAAUAAAUAAACAAACAAAAACCCCGUACGGCCCUUCAAACACGGACUCCAGUGAUUAGUUUAAAUUUGAUUAAAUUUAUUUUUUUCUUUUUUCCCAAAAUGAAAAACUAGAGUCCCGAAACGGCGUCGUGGAAGACCUGCUUACCCGAGAUGGUACUCGUUAUAUAUUUGCCCGCAAAGAAAGUAAAGUAUCCUAACUGGAACAAGUGAAUAAUCUUUUGCAGCUCAAACUGUGUAUGACUCGGCUAACAGCUCUCCUCAUUUCAGAUUCUCCAUCUCAAGUUAGGUUUCUCAGGCUCACUUGCAUUUUCUUGAAAUUUCCCGAGAAGCAAACAGAAAAGAGCUGAAGGGACAGUCAGACAGACGGCGUAAGAGCAAAGCUUUGCUACUCUCAAAACCCUAGACCCGAUCCAUGACAAGGAGCAGAACCAUCAUCAUCGUCAUCGGCCAAACUGUUUUGAAACAUUGACAAAAGGACAAGGACUGAAAUCUUUGUGAAUCGAAAGUUCAGAACCUUAAAAAGGCUUUAGUUUAGUGUUUUUUAGAUGGAGAGAUCUAGAUCCAAGAGGAACUAUUACUACGACCAAGACUAUGAUGGAGAGAACAUGGGUAGAACAAAACCUCGGUACAACAACCAUCACUACCUACCCAACAGUCACCGCCACCGUGGCAACAAUCCCAACAACAACAACGGCAACAACGGUCGACCGUCGAAUAAAGGCGGUAGCGGCGGCGGAGGAGGACAAGACUCUUCCCUUAUGGUAACCACGAGCUACCGCAUUCUCUGCCACGACAUGAAAGCCGGGGGCGUAAUCGGCAAAUCAGGUAGCAUUAUCAAGUCCAUAAGGCAACACACCGGCGCGUGGAUCAACGUUCACGAGCUGAUUCCCGGCGACGAAGAGCGCAUCAUCGAAAUUUCCGACACGCGCCGCCGUGACCCUGAAGGGAGAAUGCCGUCGUUUUCGCCUGCUCAGGAGGCUUUGUUCCUUAUACAUGAGAGGAUUCUGGAGAGUGAUUCGCAGUUUGGGUUUGGCAGUGGCGGAGGAGAGGAGGAGGAGGAUUACGGAGGGGUGGUGAGAGGAGGAGGGAAUAGGGUGGCGACGAGGUUGGUGGUUUCGAGGAUGCAUGUGGGAUGUUUAUUGGGGAAAGGAGGGAAGAUUAUUGAGCAAAUGAGAAUUGAAACAAAGACUCAGAUUAGGAUUCUACCUAGAGACCAUACGCUGCCCCGUUGCGUUUCCAUGUCUGAGGAGAUUGUUCAGGUCUGCAACCAAAUUGCAUUUGGAUUUGGAUUUAAUGCACAAAAAAGGGGAAGUUACUAAAUACUAAUGCAUGGGGUUUUUAAUAUUUGGUAUGUUUAAAUUCAAUGGCUUAAUGGAAAUGAUUGGGCGGUUAAAUAUUUAUUUAUUGAUUAAAAGAUUUCAGGUUUUGAUUUGAGAGUAUUGAGCUGAAUCCAAAAUCCUGGUUUGAAUGAAUGUUACCCGUGGAUUGUAGGAGUUACUAGUGUGAUCUCCAUGCAUUGCUUUUUCCCUUAAAAAAACCUGGACAUCUAAAUAUUAAGCAGCUAAUUACUAUAUGCCAUUGGCAGCAGUCUUAAGUGCUGCUUGAUGAACCGAUUUGUACAUUUUAAACAAUUUGCCCUUUGCUGAAAAAAAGACCUGUUCUUUCUUCUCAUCUGUUGUUGAUUCAAAGAGGCUUAAGCUCUUCAGAAGGUUUUAUUACAAAUUUACUUCAUAUAUUUUUAGCUGGUAUAUUGUGUCAAAUAAGAAUAAUUUAAAUUACUUGGGAAUUUAAACUAUUUGUCCUGUUCUGAUUGUAUGCCUAUGAACUUCAAUCUGUUGUGUCUUCAAUUUUCUUGAAGUUGUUGAUUGUUGCAUCGUGCAAUUUCUUUUGUGCUUUUUGCUUUUGUUGAUACUUGGUAUUUUGGGCAGUGCAAAUGUCUGUGUUAAUGAGUUUUUCCUCUAAUAAUAGCUCACUGAAAAACCAUUUCAUGCAUUUUGAAAGCUGUUGUUUUGCAUUGACAUGCUCAACAUCAUGCUUCUGUGUUAUUUGAAUGUAUCAUCCAUAUCAGAUACAAGUUCUUUUGAUUUUCUCCCAGCAGUUCUAUAAGUAUUCUUUUUAUUUUGGUAAGUACUAAUUAUUCAUAUGAAUGCUACAUAACUAUAAUAAUCUCCAGUUUAUGCCAUUUUGCCAGUGAACCAUAUAUCUAUGAUUGCUGACGAAGCAGUCUAAAUCUAGGAAUUGUAUGCUGCUAAGGCUGCAAAUUGGUCACAAAAGAUGGAUAGUUGAGAGCCAUGCAUCUUAAGUAGUGUCCAUGCUGCAUUGCAAAGAAUAAGGCUUCUGAUGUUGCUAUCUACUAGGAGUGGUUUUGCUACCAAAAAUGAGUUUUCUAGAAAGUUUUUCUGGUUUAAGAUGUAUUUAAGCAUAUGCAGUAUGCACUUCAUGCUUUCCUCCUAAUUUCCCUCUGGUGAAAGAUAUUAAUGUUGUGACAGCAUUAUCAUAUGGUAAUUUUGUCUAAUGUUGUUUUUCAUGCAGGUUGUGGGGGAUGUAAAUGCUGUUAAAAAUGCUAUAGCAAUUAUUUCAUCACGCUUAAGGGAGAGUCAGCAUCGUGACCGCAGUCAUUUCCAUGGGCGAAUGCAUUCACCAGAGCGAUUUUUCCCUGAUGAUGAUUAUAUUCCACACGUAAACAAUGCAUCACGUCGAUCAUCUAUGGAUGGGUCAACUUUUGGUUCACGGAUGCCUGCUGCAAAUUAUAGAGGCAAUAAUUAUUCCUCACGUCCAUCUGGCUUCAUUGAAGCUGGGACUGCUCCUAUGUCUGACAGUGGACAGCCUCUUUAUGGUGAUGAUCUUGUAUUUCGUAUACUUUGCCCAAUUGAGAAGGUUGAUAGUGUUUUUGGAGAGCCAGAUGGCAUAGUAGAUUUACUUCAAAAUGAAAUUGGUGUGGAUGUCAAGGUUGCUGAUCCUGUGACAGGGUCAGAUGAGCAGAUAAUUACCAUUUCUUCUGAGGAGGUACUUACCAUCUCUCUAUUGUUGUUUCAUGACACAUGGCCACAUGGGUGGAUAGUUGUUUGUUUGUCCUAUAAAGCUCUUUCUUCUUGUGUAUGCCAAUUUUUUUUGGGGGAGAUAAAUUCUAUCAAACUUUCGUUUAUCAAAUUAAAUGUUGUCUUUUGUAAUGUUUAAACACUUGAAAAACAUUUUUAAAAAAAUUGUUCAUUCCUUCUGAAAUUUGAAAUACAUAGUUAUAGAGGUUUCUAACUUAUCUUUGGCCUUUCUUUUGUCCUUAGGGUCCUGACGAUGAGUUGUUUCCAGCUCAGGAGGCUUUAUUGCAUAUCCAAACUCAGAUUGCUGACCUCGUUCCUGAUAAAGAUAACAUCAUAACUACUAGGAUAAUUGUUCCAUCGAGUGAAAUCGGAUGUUUAGAGGGAAGAGAUGGAUCAUUAUCUGAAAUGAAAAGAUUAACUGGUGCAAACAUACUGAUCUUGUCAGGAGAAGAACUUCCUUCUUGUGUAUCAGGACCUGAUGAGAUUGUACAGGUUUGCUACUUAGAUAGCUUAAUUCUUUUGAAGCAUUGAGAUCUUAGCUUCUUGGUGCUUAUACAAUCCAGAUCAAAGAAAGGGUUCAAAACCUGGGGUCUAUUAAAUUUAAUAACUGAGGGCAGGCUGAUUGGAUUGAUUUACCUUGUGUAUUCUGAAUGGCAUUUUGAUAUACUCUACAGAUUGUUGGGGAGAUAAAGGCAGCUCGAGAUGCUCUUGUUGAGGUCACAUCACGACUACGAAGUUAUUUAUAUAGGGAAUUCUCUCAGAAGGAUACCCCUCCAGCUAUCUCUGCGACAGCAUCUCUUGGGAAUGUUUCAGCACUGGAGAUUGCUUCUCCAAACUUAACUCCAGUGCGUGAUAGUCAAACUGUCAGUGAUCCUCCUACUGGAACCUAUCAGAAUGUGCUAACUGUGGCAAUGCCACCAUUAUCAAAGGUUGUAGCGAAAUUCCUUUGGUCUUAGUAUUUGUUUUUGUGUGUUGUUUAUGUAGUCAAAAAUUAAGUUCCAUUUUUCUUUAGCUCCUAUGGGUUAUUUACUGUUCUUGGUUGUUCACGUGGUGAGUAGCUUGAAAGUGAUAUAUAACUAGUGACAUGUUUUGGUAGUUUUUCAGGGCUCUUCUUCUGUAUUCUAAGAACAUAAUUAUAAUAACUUAAUUGUUAUUUAUAGGAAGUUGUGAACUCUGGCGCUGAAACAAUGAAGCAGACUGAAAGUGAACGCCGUGAAGAUAUACCAAGUACAAUUAGCAGGUGACUAAGUUUUGCAUUAUUUCACUCUUAUUUUUUAUAAUGAAGGUUGCAUCGCACACUAUUAAUUUUUGUUGCUGCUAUCUUUUAAAAAAUUUUAUUUAAAGAACAAAUGUUCUUUCAAUCGUUAGUAUUUUAGAGGGUCCUUCUGAUAAAUAGUGCUUCUCCUGCUUGUAAUAUUCUAUCAGAAUCCCUGUACCACUUGUUACGAGGAGUACGCUUGAAGUUGUCAUACCAGAGCACGCUGUUCCCAAGCUCAUAACAAAAUCUAAAAACAAACUGGCACAGAUCAGUGAGGUAAGCAUUGAUGCUUUCAAUUCCCUAGUUAAUUUAUGUUAACUUUGGUUCAAUCUAAUUUCAAAUCACUGGUCUCUUGGUUUGUGUUUUCUGGGUAAAGUUGUCUGGUGCCAAUGUAACUCUGGUACACGAUAAACCAGACGACACUCAAAAGAUCAUUCAAAUAUCAGGUACUCCAGAGCAGGCUGAGAGAGCCCAGAGCUUGCUUCAAGGCUUUAUUUUAAGCAGUAAGUCUCUUUGUAUAUCUGUAUGUUUGUGUGCCUCGUAUAACUUUUCCUUCAUUUUGUUCUUCUACACUGGUGUCUAACUGGGCUCUUUCUCUUUUCAAUUCAGCGCAAGAAGAUGGACCUUAAGCUACUGCUGCUAGUAAGUGGGGCUAGAACUCGGAGCUGUCUGUAUGGGGACAGUGCUGUUAAGAUUUUCCCUAGAAUCCGGAUGUAUAAAUCUGGUUCCCUGUUAUUUAGGCACAAAACGAUUUGUAUCUCUUUUACUUAGCCUUUGUUUUAGAUUGCUGAGUGUUGGAAGGGUGAGAAAGCUCCAUUGUAAAUGUAACAUGGGGAGCUCUUGGUCUAAGUUUUUCCUGCAAUGCUUCAAUUUUCCUGAAUGAAGAAAGACCGCAGUUGAUUUGUUGUUCAGAAUUCUGCUUUUGCAUACACUUUGUCAUUGGCUGCUUCUAUCAAUGUAAGUUUUUAUACUUUCAAAUUCCAUUUGCUUGGUUUAUACUUAAAUCUGUUUUUAAACAACAUAAAAUAUUGUCGACUGUUUUACUACUGGAAGUAUACAACACAAAGUCACGAACAGCAUUAUGCUACUUGGUUAUCAAUACCUGUUUGUUAAUUGAGUCCGAUUAUCACUAUGUGAACCACGACGAGACCAAUAUAUUGGAAUUUUUUUUAUUUAAAAAAAGAAGAAGUGAAUCUAUAUUUUUAAUUAAUUCUUAAACAUUCAUACAAAUAGACUUCUAAAAUAAUUAGUAUAUAAAACAAAUUUAUGAGAAUUAAUUAGUCGACACCCGGUAGAUGAUUUCUUUUGUUCUUUAAACUUUUGGUUUCCGCUGCAAUUUGAACCGACCCUACCAGACACGGGCCUAUAACAUCUCAGUGUCUGCCCCACCCAACCGCCUUCAUCUCUCUGACUCUGACUCUGACUCGGUUACCAACCCAGUUAGCCAGGAAACUCGAAGAAAGAAGAAAACAAAACUACCAAAUUGCGAGCUUUUCUUCUCUCAUUUCAACUCUCUUCCCACUCUCAUGGCAGCUUCUAUCCUUAUCCCCUCUCCCUCUUUCAACACUUACAGGUACCCUCUCUGUUUGCUUGUCUUUGUACUCUGCACAUAUAUGUACGUAUGUAUCUGCAAAAAGUUUUCGAAUUCACUUUUGGGUGUUUUUAUCUGGGUUUUGUAAUGUCACGAACUGUCUCGUGGGUCCUCUUUAUUCAAUCUUUGCAUAGUCGGGGGGGGGGGGGGGAAGUGAGUUACUUUUUAUCCUUCUUAAUAUUCUCACCUUUCAAACUAUUUCAGGACAAGUCAAGUGUCUCUGAACUUGCAUUCACAACACUGGCAUCAAAGCAUCAGCCGCUUCUCAGUAUCUCUUAAAACCCACAAAUCAAGUCUCAAGCUUUACAUGAUACCUGCUAUUCCGAUUGUCGCCCGCCAGUUUCUGUUGAAACCUUUUGCUGCAGUUGACUCAUUAGAAGCACAUGUCUCACCGGACCAAAAUUGUGCUGCUUCGGGUGUUUCAUCUCAAAAUGGUUUCGACAGGUGGGAACUUAUCUUGCUUACCCAUAAUUUUGCCCUUAUUUUGAUGUUACUGUUUCUUAAUUUACCUUUCCUGGACACCGGAAUUCUUUUGCUUCUGACUCGUGGGCUUUGCCUGAAGUGAUGUAACGUCGGAUGACACCUUUGGUUUCAAAUCUGACCAUGAAAUGAUCUUGACAUUGUUCUGAGUUCAUCAUUAGCAAUUCAUUAUAUCCUUCUCUAGCAAAGCUGAGUCUACAAAAAUUAAGUAGCUGAAAAACAUUUGUCUGUUAUUAGCAGGUCUAAAACAUUGCUCGACAAAGCAAGUAACUCCUUGGAUGGCAUGAGUGACUUUGAGAGACAGCUGCAAGAGCUAUUUAAUGAGGUCAAAACAUUAAUUAUGACUGGGAACAGGAGUGAUGCUCUAGACCUACUUCAAGCAAAUUAUGAAGCUGUAAAAGAACAGAUAAAUGCAGGUGCUAAAGGCAUAGAAGAAGCUGCUAUUCUUGAUGUUAUAGCCUUGGGUUACAUGGCUGUUGGAGAAUUGAAGUUUGUUCACCCUCUGCUCAAUUUGGUAACUUCCUUUUUCUUUGGAAACUAAAUUUUCAUGUGCGUGAGGCCUCUGUUUGACAUGAUAAUGUACGUGGGUACUAAUAACUUAUUGAUGUGGUCGUAGAUUGCUAAAUCGAACUUUAUGCAAAUGCUUAUAAGUUUCAUGUAAGGGUUGGAAGGGAAUGGAAAGUUAUUUGUUAUUGCUUUUUCUAUUUUAUCUGGGUUAAUCUGGUUGUAUAGUUGUUAGACGUAAGUGGAUUAGAUGGCGCUAAUGACCAAUAUUCACAAAAGGUAUGUGCAAAAUUAUAUUCAGAUAUUUUGAAAGCCAUCCUAGAUAUUCUUUCUGUUUCAAGAGUGAUAUUCAUGAUAAUGGGAAAAAAGUCAUUGAAAGUUUAGUCUUAAAGUCAGGGGAGCUUCAUUUCUUUUUCCUCAUUUAAACUUUGUGAAGUACAAUUUAUAUUUCCUUUUUACCUUUUUUUGGGUCCUUUCUCGUCUUAUAUUUAUAAAUUCAUAUGUUGGUUUUCUGUGUGGCAAAUAGGUUAUAAAGAUUAAGUACCACUAUCUGCUAUGUCCAAGGCAAAAGUGAUAGAUAAAUGGCUAAAAAGUUCUGACUGCAAUAAAAACUGCUCAUUGAUGUAACAGUCACUCAUCAAGAGAGAAUUAAAACUUUUUCUUCUCUGCUUCACUUUUCUUGAUGCAAUUAUUUUCAUGAUGGCAGAUUAAUGAGGUUAUCGAGGAUCAAAAGGAUGAUGAACCUCUUCUGGACUCGGUACUUUUGCAUAUGGGAAGUAUGUAUUCAACUUUGGGGGAGUUUGAGAAAUCCAUGCUUGUCAAUCAAAGAGUUACUGAUAUUCUAGAGAACAGACAUGGUAAUUGCCUCCUUUUUUGUGCCUUUAUUUUUUAAAAAUUUUUUUGGUGUUGCUUAUGAGCUUCACUCAUUCCUUUUCGCAGUUGGCUUCUCUCAAUGAUUAUCUAAAAUUCAUGUCUUCUCCUAGGGAAAAAUAGUAUUUUUCUUGUCACACCACUGUUGGGGAUGACAAAAGUUCUUAGUUCUACUGGAAGAACUACAAAAGCAGUUGAUAUCUAUCAUCGUGUGAUAAAAAUCUUGGAAUUAAGUAGAGGCACUGAAAGUGAGGAUUUUGUGGUACCUUUGGUUGGACUUGGAAAUCUUUUAAUAAAGGAGGGCAGAGCUACAGAUGCAGAAAAUGCUUUUGUAAGGUAAGUGAGCAUAUUCUUUCAUAUUGAUUUGGUUGUAGUUUUGAGUUCAUUGUUCACUUGUUAUGUGCUUUUUUUCCUUUUUCAGAAUUCUAAAUAUAUAUACCAAGUUAUAUGGGGAGAAUGAUGGAAGAGUUGCACUUGCUAUGUGUUCUCUAGCCCAUGCAAAGUGUGCAAAAGGUAGCUUCUGUAAUUUCUCUGUCCCCCAUCCUCACCCCCAAGCCCGAAAUAAAUAAAUAAAGGAUUUAAAGCAUUUUUGGGGCCCUUGCAUUGUUUUUCAAUCAUAAAACAUUCUUCAGCACUUCAAAAACCUUUAAAUUGCAAUUAUAGUUUAUCAUGCCAGUUUUCUUACAGGGAAUGCAAAUGAAGCCAUUGAUUUAUACAAAAAGGCUCUCCAGAUGAUAAAGGAUUCAAGUUAUAUGCCUUCAGAUGAUAGCCUGAUGGAGAAUAUGAGAAUAGAUUUGGCAGAACUACUUCAUGCCGUGGGAAGGUAAGUUGGAUACAAAGUUGCAACUAAAAAUCUGCAUGCAUUCAGUAGAUUUAUAUGCAUGGUUUUCUCAGCCUUUGUGAUAAUUCCAUCUGUGGAUGUCCCUGAAUGUGCUUGGAUGGGGAGCAUUGUUCACAUGGGAUAGCAUCUAUAAUGAGGCUGAAAAAAAUCAAGUGGCUGCUGUAUGCCAUUAGGCCUGCAAAAUUUAGAAGUGUCUUUCCUUGAAGAAAAUCUCAUUCAGAAGCAAAAGGAAUUAUAAUGCAUUACUUUUUGAUUAUCUGAUUAUGCAGGGCAAAGUUUUAGCAUGUCAUAGUAGUAGUCUUGUGCUUGCAUUUCCUAUUAUACAGUUUUGGUAAAAGCAUAGUCUUACUUUCUGUUGCAAUUUGUAUGCUGGUAGGGGAAGAGAAGGUCGGGAGCUGCUGGAGGAAUGUUUAUUGAUCACUGAGAAGCUUAAAGGAAAAGACCAUCCCAGCUUAGUUGCACACUACCUAAAUCUUGCAACAUCAUAUUCACAGUCUAAAGAUUUUGUUAUGGCUGAACGCUUGUUGAGGACAAGUUUGGAAAUCACAAAAAAGGCUGAGCGGCCUGACAAUCCAUCCAUCACUUUUCCAAUGUUGCAUCUUGCUGUCACUCUUUACCAUUUAGAGCGGGAUGAAGAAGCUGAGCAAGUAGCGCUUGAGGCUUUACAUAUCCGUGAGAAGGCAUUUGGAAAAGAUUCACUGCCUGUUGGUAAAUGUUACUAUCUCAUUUACUUGUGCUGAGUUUGAUUAGGCUAAAUAUCAUAUCAUCUUGAUGAUUUUAAAGAAUUAGUACAUCAUUAGAAGAAAAUAAUUGAAGUUGUUGCCCUGAUUGCAUCCUGAUUCUACUACUAUACAUUUUGUAAUGUUCUUUGUUUUUAUGGCAGGGGAGGCUUUGGACUGUUUGGUGUCAAUUCAGACCAGACUUGGGAAGGGUGAGGUUGAGUUACUGGAGCAGCUGAAGAGAAUUCUGAGGAUUCAAGAGAAAGAGUUGGGCUACGAGAAUGAGGAGGUUAUGAUAACACUAAAAAAGGUUGUAUUUUACUUAGAUAAAUUAGGGAAAAAGGAUGAGAAAUUUCCCCUACAAAAAAGAUUGUCCAGGCUUUGGAUGAAAUACAAACAGGUUGUUCGAUAUUAAUAUGGCAUUUUCUCAUUUUCCAAAAAACAAAAAGUCAUAUAGUUUGCAAGUUAGACCAAAAUUCUUAAUUGAUAUCAAACCACAAUACAAGCGUUCAAGUUUACACUUUUGACAAAUUUCCUUGGCAAAACCCAAAGUCAAUAUCAUCGGUACAAUAAACCUCACAAUCCCUAUAGAAUUGAAAGCUUCUUCUUGCAUAGACACACUGGUACAUGGCUGAGCGAUUGGCAGAAGCAUGAAAUGUUACUUGGCCACAAAUCCAUCUCCCUUGACAGCUAAUGGGUGGAAACAAACCCAUAUCAAGGUCAUUUCUUCUUGAUCAAGACUAUGGAAGAGAAGCUAGCAUUAAAGUGCCAAUUACUCCUUAUGAGGCUAACUGCUAGCCUAUCUAUGUAAUUCCAAAACAAGCUCUCAUUCUCGAGUUUGGUUGCAUCAAGAUACGAGGCCAAACUACAAAAUUGAUUUGGGUCAGUUUCUUAUGGAAGUUAAAAACGUUUAUGAAUGCUUUGAAAGCAGACAUAAACAGAAACAUACCAAUGGUAGCAGUAUCAUACGUCUUGAAGCCACCUGCAUGGCUUCUUUUCCCUGUGACUUGGAUUUAAACAAUUUGGUAUAUGUUCCUUCCUUUCUGAAUUUUGUAAGGGAAGUUGCUGCCACGUCGACAUGUUGACCAAAAGUCAGGAUAUGGUCAUUUUGUAAUUUUUGGACGUAAUUGGUGGCAUUUACAAAUGGAAGGGAUAUACCAUCUGUCUCUGGGAGCGUUCAAGAGUUAGUACGGGGCAGGGGCAGGGCAAUGGCGUUUGCUAUCUCCAACCCAACCUGCAUUUCUUCUUCCAUUUCACCUCUACUUAAAACGGUAAAAGAUUCAAACCCUUUUUAACUUUCCAAUUUUGGCCUCACCAUUUACUUUGUUAGUCAAUAUUGAUUGGAUUCCUUCGUUGGUCUGACGCAGGCGAGAGCAGGGACAAAUUCAUGGCGUCUCAACCCCAAUUUAAAGUGUCAGGUUUAUCUUUGGAAAUUCAUUUUGUUUUCAGAAUUAAUUUCACGUAAUUAUUUUUAAUUUUUGUAAUAAAUAAGUUUUUUUAUUUUAAAGUGUCAAGUUGUUUCCCGGUUCGAAAGCGAGGGUGGUGGUCGCCGUGUUUGGCGCCGGAGAAAAUUGGUACAUGGUCAAACUUGCUUUUUAUUUCUUUCUUGGAUAUAAGAUAGUUAUUAGUAUCAAUAUACCAGUAAAUUGAAAUUAAUAAAAAAUGGAUAAGAAAAAAUGGAAUGAAUUUUUGUACUUUCUGAUGGAUAUGUUUAGUUAGAUUCAUGGUGAAGUAAUGUUUAAUUGCUUUGAAACUCAGAUGUCUUUAUUCAUAUCUAACUAAGAAUUUGGAUUAGAUGAAGGUGCUGUUUACUGUUAUGAUAAUUUAUGGGAUAGAGUUUGUGAAGAAAAGUUUGAUGUUUCUGUUGAAACAUUCACCAACAGAGUUCAAUAUAAAUCAAAUAGGUGUGGGAGACUGAUAGUUUUUGAGCAUUCACCCUUUUUCUCAUUCCCAAAAAUGUAAUUUCAUGCUAGAAAUACAGUUUAGAGACUGAGUGAGUAGCUUGUGGUGGGCUACACCUAUACUCAAGCUUAGAAUAGUUAUUCUAUUCACAAGGUUUUCUUCUCAUUCAUCUUCUGUUUCUUUCUGAUUCAAAAUUUUCCGGAAAUUUCAAUUCGGUGUUGGUCGGAUGGAGGGUAAUUGUGCUCCCUAUUCUUCUAUUAAAUUCAUAAUGUCUGAAAUUCUGUUGUUGCAGCUAUUUUUGUAUCUUAAGAAUGAAACUUAUACCAACAUAAGUUGCUUCGUAUUUCUGAAUCUUGCUCAUUGUUGCUUGCGUUUCACUAAAAUUGGAACAAAUUAGGAGUUGAGUUACAAAUGCUGGUAUAAGUUUUACAUUCUUAUAUAUGAUGGAAAUCUUCCAGUAUUUAGGAUUGAGUCAAGGUUCUCUACAGUUCUGAGUUCCCCAAAUAAUUUUGUGACAUGUCUAUCCUUGGUCCAUUGUUUUUUGAAAGUGAGUAAUUCAUUUCAUCAAUGAACUUUACAUACUAUCCAAAGUGGUAGCAGAGUGACAUCACGGAGCUGGCAGACAAGACCCUGCCCACUCCAAGUGAGUCCUGAAAUCAAAAAGUAUGUGAUCCCAUCAGGUUGUAUAUGGGAUCAAACACCGAAAACAAGACCACGUGAAUCAAAAUCCAGUCAGCCCUCCAGUUACCCAAAGACAGAACCGUUCCCAUCUAUCCUUGGUCCCUGCUUCAGUAGAAAUAUGUUGUUGUUAUGCAAGUGACAUGCUCAAAGGCAUUUGGUUGCAAUGUUGAUGUGGAAAUUUCCUCUUCAUUCAGACAAAGAAGGAUGAGAUGUUGCAGUACAAGUUGGAGCGAAUCCCUUUCCUGGAGGAGCAGGUUAGGAAGAUAAGGGAAGGAGGAAAGCUCUUGACAAUGGACAUCGAGCGACUGUUGCUAUCGGAGGACAACAGGUUUGAUUUUGUGAAUGAUGUAGCAGCUGAGGCCAAAGAUUAUAUUGAGAGUAAUCGGGAUGAAUAUGGAGGUACUAAAAAAGCUAUACUUCAUGUGCUCAGUAACCGUGUCAAUGAUUCUGGCUUCUAUCGUCCAGAUGCAUAUGCUGAAUCUGACCCUUUCAAGCCUGGACCUACUUAUUUGAAGGAAGAAUUUACGUAAGUUUUGUAUGUUAGUGUCCAUUGUAUUCAAGAUUUUCUUCCUUGUAAUUUCAUUCCCUCGGAUUUAAUGCAGUGGUAGUUCUUUGGAAAGAAUUAGUGGUUGAUUGAAUAAAUAUAAUGUAAUCUUUUGUAGUAAUUCCUAAUUCUUUUUGUAAUUUAAAAAUAAUUGGAGAGGGUCAAUGUUAAAUCUGGUUAUAGUAUUUCACUACUUAGUAUUUUCGUGGAAAUGUAGUACUAGAAUUUUUGGAAGAUGACUCCAUCAACAGAUCUGAGUCAAGUGGGAAUGAACAGAGUAAAUGAUGUGUACUCAGACCCUAAGCCCAAUAUUAACUUGGGCUUGGUGCAAGCCCAGAUAAUAUGACAAUAUUGACCCAAGUCUUACUUGACACGUGUAAUUGAUGAUUCAGACCUUUUAUCUGUCCUUUUUUGCCCUUUUUUAUAGACCUUUAAUGAAGUCGUCUCUGUCUAGCCAAAGAAAAGGGCAAAUAAGGAUAAAAAAACUUCUGCUGUAUGCAAGUCUCUUAAGCAUCUUCUUAGAUAUUCGCCAAUUGAAGCUGUCACUUAAGCUGACGUGGCUUUAUAUGAACCGCAGAAUAUUCACUUACACUGUGGUGGAAAAGUCCGUAGGAGAUCCUAGCUCACUUGGAAUAUAAUCCGUUAAAUCAGUUAGAGGCCUAACUUCACUCUCUUAUCUCCGACACCGCCACAAUCACAGAGAAGAUUCUCAUCCUUGCAAGCCGAAACUCGAAACUCCAACUCAUCCGUUGGACUCAGAGAUUCAACUCACUGAGUCAACCAGAAGCUAUGGCGUUAUCGAGUCCACAGUUACAGAGAUUCCUCUCAACCGACUUCAAUUUCACCUCCAACACCAAAUCAGCCAACAAGAACCACCUAACGACCACAACUAACAUCAGAGCCAGAAGCCCCUGCCGUUGCUCUGCGAUUGCAAUUGACGCUCCUUCUUCGCUAACGGACGUCGCGGGGAUCCGAUGGGGAUCCGCGAGCGUUCAGGGCAGACGCGAAGAGAUGGAGGACAAUUUAGUCAUACGAUCGGACGGCCUUGACGGAUUCUCAUUCGCUGCUGUCUUUGAUGGCCACGGUGGCGUAUCUUCCGUCGAGUUCCUCAGGUACGAUAAAUAUUACAUGCAAAUGACUAGCAAUAUUUACUUCAUUCCAUGAACUUUUUGCAUAGUUUAUUGCGAUUUAAUUUUAUAGCAAGAGAUGGUUCUGAUGAAAGCAGGGAUGAGCUGUAUAAAGAGUGUGUUACCGCUUUACAAGGCGGAUUUCUGUUGAAUGGAGGAGAUUUUAAUGCUAUUAGGAAGGCGCUAACGAAGGCUUUUGAAAAUGCUGAUAAGAAAUUGCUAAAUUGGUGAGCCAAAAAUCGAUGCUUUGAACCCACAAAUAUUGAUAAGUCUUUUAAUCUGAUUUUGUAGUCUUAAUAUGAUUGUAGAUUUUUGUAUAUUACUGGUUGAAGGUUUAGCUGGUGUUUCAUUUUGUAAAGGCUUGAAACGAUUGGAGAAGGUGAUGAUGAAUCUGGUUCAACGGCCACUGUUAUGUUAAUAGGAAAUGAAGUCCUCUUCAUUUCUCAUGUUGGUGAUUCGUGUGUGGUAUGGAUACCUAUUCCUAGUUCCUUUUAUAUAUAUUAGAAUCCUUAAUUUACAUAUAAAAAGACUAAAAUUUUUGAGUUUCUUGUAUAAUAGUAGCAUUUUUGGGAACUAGACAGAACACCACCUUUAUUCUUUAAAAGGGUUAUAUCACUUUUCAUUCUUUUUCUCGGUUGAUACACUGAUGCAGGUUCUAUCUCGUGCUGGAAAAGUGGAAGUGUUGACUGAUUCUCAUCGACCCUAUGGAAGCAAUGAGACCUCUUUGCAAGAAAUCAGGAGAAUCAGAGAAGCAGGUGGAUGGGUGUGUUUUUUCUGUUCUUGAUUUUCUUUUCGGCACUUGCUAUCUGAUCUUUAAUCCUUGCUGGUACCUGAGAGUUCUCACAUCUUAAAAUGUAUAAAGACUUAAAUCAAAAACUCCGGAGCCUCAGUGACGUUUGGUCUUACUCACAUCACACGGCUGAUUAUAAGUUUUUCCAUGCAAUGUCCAUAGAUUGUCAACGGAAGGAUUUGUGGUGACAUAGCUGUAUCUCGUGCUUUUGGUGACACUCGAUUCAAGACAAAGAAGAAUGAGUUGUGUUCUUCUCCUGUCCUCAUUUUAAAGAAUUUUUCGUGAUGAUUUGUACAUGUUCUGUACAUUACACUGUGUGACUCCAUCAUAAUGUUAAUGGCUUGGAAUUUUGCUCAGAAUGCUGAAGAAGGGAGUUGAGGAAAGGAGAUGGUCUGAAAAAUUUAUUUCUCGGUAUAUCUUCUGUGGAUAUCCUUUCUUAGUUUCAUUUUCCCCCUUUUGUUGUGGGUUCUUGCUUUACAAGUUAGUUUAAUUAGAGUCACACCUAGCUCAAGUGGUUUUCUAUAAUUAGGAUAAGUCAGAUAGCUGUUUGGUUUAUUUCAAACAUGUUUCAAGCUUACAAGAUUGUUUGGCCUUCAAUGUUUGUGCUCUUUCAGAAUAGUGUUCAAUGGAGACUUGGUCAUUGCAUCUCCAGACACUUUUAAAGUAGCUCUCGGGUCAGAUGCAGAGUUUAUCCUGUUGGCAUCUGAUGGGUUAUGGGACUACAUAAACAGGUAUUUCAAGCUAUGCUUUUAACUCUUGCUGCUGUACAGGCAGUUUCUUUUACAUGGGUUUGCUGUAUGUUCAAUUGAGAGAAUAAUGUUACUCUUACAUACCUACUAUUUUCUUCUUUCAGCUCAGAUGCAGUUGCUUUUGUUAGAAAUCAACUACGAGAACAUGGAAAUGUUCAGGUACAUUUUACACUGUACCAUAUAUGACCAUGUCAUAUCUGUCCAGUUCUUAUCAGAUCCAUUAGCUUUCCGAUGAUAUUCUUUCAUUGGUUUAGUCAUAACUUUCCCCUUAUUCCUGAUUCAGGUAGCAUGCGAUGCACUUGCACAAGCCGCUUUGGUAAUUAAUAGUAAUUUGUUUCUUUUGAUUCAUAUUACUUAUAUAUGUUUGUACGCAAGUUCCAGUAACGUUAGAAUCUUAUCAUAACAUGCAGGAUCAAGGCUCUGAAGACAACAUCAGCAUUAUCAUUGCUGAUUUAGGGUAUGUAGUUGUUUUCACUAGUAUGAUUGCUGUUAUGCUGUGCAGUUUAAGUUGAGCUAACAGAUUAUUUGAAUCAACCUCUACUGGAAAACUAAUCGUAGCUUUUUUUUCUCAUAUAUUUUUUUUAUAGAACUAAUUAAUGGUUAGCAAUACAGUAUAUAGUCUUAAAUUAACCAUUGCCAAUACUUUCCCACUUUGAAGGCUUCUUGCGCAGCCACUGGCUGAAUGAUAUGAGCAGUAUAUGAUCUUCAAACCCAGAAUGAACAGUCUAUUGUCCUUGGGCUUAGUCUGUUAUUGGAACUUUUAUUUUCUUUUCUAUUUUUGUCCUCGUAGUCUAAAUAUGUUUCUUUAUAAUGAAAGCAUUGCAUGUGUUCAAUGACUUGAGUAUUGCUUUUUCUGCAUUCCAAGAUUUCACUGGGGAAAGAAAAUAGGAAACGCAAAGAAAUGACUAAUAAGUCAAAAACUCUACGGGUCGUGCUUGUCUCUUUCAAUUAAGUGCAUCUGAGUUUUCUGUUUAUGGCUUUUCAUAAUUCCUAUUAAAGGAUCACCCACUCCCUCUCUUUAACUUUGGUUUCGCUUGCUUUGACCUUUGCACAGGCAGACCGACUGGCAGAGCUUGCCACUUGAGCAACAAAAUUUUCUAUAUGAGUUAGGCCAAGCUUUAGUUACAGUUGGGAUUGUAUCACUUGGAAUAUGGUUGUCAUCUCAGGCUUCUUUUUGAUAUUGGGUGACCUGUUGUAUAUAGAUCAACAUAGAUUUCACACUGUCUGUAUAAUGAAAUUGUAUAUGAUGCUAGCACUUUUUGGUAAACUUGACCUAGGCAAAUUUAAUACUUCUCAAAGAAUACUAUUCCGUUACUUGUCUUUCUCUGUAUCGGUUUUGGAAAUUCAGUAGUACUGACUGUUAUUGCCGUGGAAACUUCAUUCCAGUUUAUGUGUAAGCCGUUCUUACCCCGUUCAGGUACAAGAUGUACCUUAAGGCUUAAGCUAUAGAUGAAUUAAAGAGAAAAAGAAAAAGAAGAAUAAAAAAUAAAACUUCUGCUGUUGAAAAUGAGGAUAGAAAAAUCAAAGGUCACUCUGCCUUGCAAUAUUCAUAUAAACAACGAAAAUCAUUAGUCAAAUGGGUUCUGAUUGGUGCCCCCCGAAGCACUACAUAUCAGCCUAAACAAUGGUUUUUGAGGUGCAUAAUGAAUUCUAAAAGGUCCAGGAAAAUACGUAUUGUUGACUUGAAUUUCUGAAAUUGAAGCUAGGCAGUCAAACAUGCCAUCAUUAAUAGGGAGAAACUUCGUAAGGUGGAACAAAUUGGGAUCUAAUUUUAUAAGUACAAGUGAUAACGUUGAGUUUGAUAUCAACACUACUGUCCUUAAUUUCUUUGUUUUCUUUUUGCUUUCAAUGCAUAGGAGAAUUAUUAUAUAGAAAAUUCAAAUUCAUUUUUUUUUAAAAAAAAAUUGUAAUAAAUAAAUAAAAUAAGAUUAGAUAUUGGGAUGUUGUUGCAAUGAUCCUUUGAUUUAGCAUAUAAUUUCAUGACUUCAUCAAUAAUAUAAUUCCAUCUUCAGAACAAUAUUCCUCGUAUCUCAUCUAAAGACUAUACAUAACCAAUUAUGUUCAUUCUGCCUUAUUCCUUAAUAUUUCUUUUUUUGGUUUUAGAGAAAUAAGAUGUAUGAACUAUUACAUACAUAGUUCUAAAUUACUUCUCUGCAUGGUGUUUUUUUUUUUUCAGAAAAAUUUAUUGAUUAAAUUAUCUAAUGAGAGACAACUCUUUCUCAUUUACUUCAUCAAUCAUUCACACAUCAAAACUCAAAUUUGUAAGAUCUCGAAUUUCCAAUCCAAAAAAAAUAAAAGAAAAAACCGUAAACUACAAUUAAUCACUACCAUUAUAGACGUAUACUUUCAAUGUUGGGCUUUAUUAAUUGCUAUUUGGGGUAGCCAAUAAGCACUGCUAAUGGUGAAAUUUGAAAUCAACACAUACGCUUUGAUUUGUUUUCUAGUCUUGGGUUUAUGUGUAUAUCUCAUAAACAACUGAUGAGGAACAAAAUAGGAAAGCUUCAUUAUUUAUUCUUAAUAUAUGGUUAUGGCAGGCAAUAGCCUGGGAAGUACAAACAUAAAAUCACAUCCGCAGAAUACAGUGGCAAUAACACAGUUUUAAGAACAUAAUUAUACUACACCCCCCCGAGUAGGGUUUGUACUCUUUUGUUACUACUCACUUAACUGAUCUAAUAACUCCAUAAUAUAUAUAUUAUGCCUUGCCUUUCUAUUGCUAGAUGAUCAAAACCUCUUAAAAGAGAGACAGCGAGAAAAGAGUUUUUCUUUUUUCUAGUUAAUUCAUGGUUUGAUCAGGGCUUGCCAGGUUUUUUCCUUGGGUCAUGCUUAGUAUUGGCACCUGUAUCAUCAUAAUCCAGCAUUGCACCCAGCAUCAACAGCUUCCUGGAUGGAUUCGUUUGGAUCCCACCCUUCAUAAAGAAUUAAAAUCAACAGCAUUAGUUAUCCCCAAAGAUACAAGAACUCCCACAUUUCGAAAUACAACAUAUAUUUAUACGUGCAUUAAUUAUUAUUCUGCAUUUGCAACGAUUAUCAAAGCAAGCAGAUGUGAGGGAUUGUGGAGUACCAGAUGAAGUGAGUAUUUGGCCUGCAUGCCAUCCCGAAAGGCAGCAACGGUGCCUGCAAUACAAGUCUGGUCAGUGACAUGAUGAUGUUUUGGAAAUUAAUACAAGGUCUAGUGCUGACAUACAGAAUUAACAAGGAGAAGAAUGUACACUCGAUUAGAGUAUUACCACAGGAGAAAGGCAUGAGGAGCAAAGACAGCAAAAGGAAAGCCUUGAAGCAAAGAGCCAUGGCUAGCUGCGUUUGAUAGGGAGGGGGGAGGAUGUGAUGAGUUUGCUGGAGAGGGGUUAAGGUUGGGGAGGGGAAGGUGUGCUUUUAUUGUUGGUGUUUGAGGUAGGAAAAUGUGGCAUGGAGAGAGAGCUGUUGUCAUGGUGCACCCCACCCAAUAGCAAAAGAAUCAUGAUGAGUUGCAUUACCCCUUCUUUUGCCCACAACCCCUAAAGUCAACUGCACUGUUUUCAUAUUUAUAAUAUAUAUAUAUAUAUAUAUAUAUAUAUAUAUAUAUAUAUAUAUAUAUUGUUACAUCACACAAAGUGCACAAAAAGCAUUUGUAAAACUUAUAUGCAUGUCGGACAAAGGGAACAGUCGUUUGCAUGGCUCAAUCUAUAUCUAUACCCAUUCUCGGGUUGCCCUUUUUUCCGGCUGUAUUUCUCACCCUUUUCCCAACUCAAUCCAUCUCCACAUUAAUUUACACUAUCAAUAAUUUACCCUAAAAUCAUCUCUCUUUCUAUAUAUGUUACUAAUACUUUUACUUUAGCCUCUCAUUUGUUUCAACGGUGCACGUUACUCAAAUAAAAUUUAACAUCCCAUGUCUAUCUUCUUGAUAAAAUUACACUUAAAAAUUAAUUCUAUUUAUUAUGUGGAUUUGAUUUUCAUUAUAUAAUAAUAAUAAUAAUGUAGUGGGGGGAGGGGGGAGGUCAGAAAUCCUUCUCCUGGAUUUGUAAUUCCGUGGUACCAAACACCACUUUAUUGAAUAGUGGUUUUGAUCCUCAUGUUUCGGCUUUCAUCACUUUCCAAGGCAAUUAGAUGGAGACAAACAGGUUAGUGGCCUACAGACGAAAUCAAAUGCAAAAAGCAUUUAGGAUGUUGAAUUUUGGCGAGAGCCAUUAGCGGGAGCACUAUCAAAAGAAUAAAACAAAGCAAGGGAUGGGGGGACAACACAACACUUUGAACUCCCAACACUAAUUUUAAUUUAAUCAUUUAUUAACAUUAAAUUAAAAGUGUAAUUAAUCAUCUUUAAGGAGACCAUAUGUUGGCAAAAUGAUGCUUUCUUAUACCCAAAUUGAUUGACUAAUUAAUAAAACCUUAAUUUCAAAGUCGUCCAAAAGGAAUUAAAAUCAUUGUGUAUUCUUUUUAAUAUAUUUACAUAUAUAUAUAUAAAUAAUUAGUCAUAAGCAUACACAAAAUGAUAUAUGUAGCAUACAUGCAAGUGUUUGAUUUAUUAAUUAAUGUAUGAUUUUUUUCUUAAAGAGUAUAGUUUGAAUCAUCAUUCCAUCGAUUCAAAAAAAUAUAAUGUAUGUAACAUAUUUUGUGUUUUUAAAAAAUAAAAAUGAUGGGUUUAAUUUUAAAUUUAGACUUAAAAAAUAAGGAAAUUAUUGCAUAUUAUUGUGAUAUUUUUGAGAACUGAGGCAAGGGAAGCUGAAUGAUAAAAUUAAUGGUGGAUAUUUUCGGGUAUCAAAUGGUUCAACAAUGGCAGGAAUUGGUGAAGUCACUUACAAGAGUAGUACUGCUCAAAGUGGCAUAUGCUAUUCAUUGUGGAUGCUUAUUACAAUAUAUGUUUUCCUUUUUUUUUUUUGUUUGUUGGGUUACUCCCUGAUUUUUCCUCCAUUACCCAAUAGUUUGGGUUUUCGUUGCCUUGUACGGCCAUGAAAGGUCCUGAUGAGAGACAUGGAAGGAUUUACCCAAAAAAGAACAAAAUUGAGACAACUCGAUGCAUCCCCCCCUCCCUUCCUGCCUAAAUUUAUUAGAUAGGGGUGGUGGCGGUCAUAUCACAGCAGGUCACACCACAUUCUCUGAACUACCUUUAAAGGGGCAUAACCUGCCAUUUCCAUCUCUUUUCCCACUAAACCUCUGCCACCUGUUCGGAUGCCACAACUUUGAUCAAUGUGAUGUGAGUCGAGGCUUUCUCUAACAUCUUUUUUUAAUUAAACAAAAUAAAAAUAAAUAAAUUUAUAUUAUUUUUAUUUAUACAUAAUAUCAGUAAUUAAUACAUAUCUUUUCCCUCUUCUUCCAAGAAAGCAAUGCAAGUUGAUCUUAUUUUUCGGUACAAAUGUUUGUGAGAGAGGCAAUGAAAGCUAUCUUCAUAGCUCAUGCUGACAAAUUUGACAACAAAAGUAUGUACUAAAUUCGAUAAAUUAAUCAUGAUUUGCAAUUUCUUGGAUCUUUCCAACCAAUUGGAACUGCAAUUUCUAGUCAUAAACAAAAAGGCCUUUUGAGGGUUUGAAAGGUUUAUACAUACCAUGACAGCAACCUUUCCCUUUUCAAACCCUCAUGUAGUGUAAGACAAGAUGGUGAAGAUGGAAUGUAUCAAGGGCAGCAAAGUGCAUCAACUUGUUCUCUUCAUAAUAAGAUCAUUUGGGUUUUUUCUUUUGAUCUUUUUCAAACUUCUAAAUGAAGUUCAGGUCUGAUCAUUACAAGGCCUGAGUGAUACCAAUACCUUUUGGUCGUGAAUUUCAUGUGAUUUUUUCACUUCAUCUCCGAGCGUCGGUUACCAAAGCCUUGUAAAAGAUUGCUGCCCAAAUUUAAAGAGAAGCUUGUUUUCUAAUGAUCAGAUUUUUAAGAUUUAACAGGAUGUUGGAAGAAACUUUAUCCUGUGCGUGAUAACUAAUGGCUAGGAUGAACUCGUUAGACUACCAAAUAAAGUUUUCUCAGCUUUACAAAAGCAUUAGCUCUAUAUUGGUGUUGGUCAGUUUGUUCUUAUGAAGCUUGGAAUUUGACCCAAGUCCCAACAAAAGACGAAAUAGUCAAAAUCUUUGAAUAGUUAGCACAGUUCGAGCCAACUUUGAGGUGGGGUAUGAGUGGUUUGAAGCAAAUUAGUGGGAUGAAUGAGAAGCCAUAUCCCAUUCACAGGGUAAAGUUGAAUUCUAUAGAACCAGUCAAAGAGGCCGCACUUGAAUACUUGGUCAGCCUGUGAAAUUUUCAAUUUUCAGCCAUUAUUAAGAGCUCAUCAGAUGAAUAAGCAUCGGUUCCACUGCGAUCUUACUCUUUCCUAAUCCAUGAAUCACAAAAGCCACAUGGGUUGCUUAUUAGGAAUAUUCUCACUUGGAGCCAUUGAGAAAAAACCGCUAAUGCGAAGCAAAAAGGCAAACCCAGAAUUAUCUCAUUCGGCCCUACUAAUGUCAGCCCAAUUUGUGAUUUACUAUCACUAUGUAUAAGCAGUGAUAACCAAAAAUUCUAUUAUACAAUCUGAAACAACGGGAACAAAAUUGUAUACCCAAAGGAAAUGCAAAACAAAUAAUUUUAUGAAUGCAUGAUAUUGAACAAUUGACUCGAGACUUUUGCUAACAAUUCAAAUUUAUAAAAAAAAAAAAAAAAAAACCCCGACAACAACAACAAUGCAAUGCUGGAUGGAAUACUCCCAAUAGCAUGCUGUAUGUGGCUAACCCCCAACCCCACCGAAACAAAAUAUACAAAAGCAGCAGAGGUGAUUAAAUGCAACCCAGCCACUGACGUAUCAUACUUAAAAAAUAUGAAGAGUUGAACUACCAAAAGAAGGGGUUGAGUAACACUCAGAACCAAAACUAGGUGAUGGAAGGACAAUGGUGGAAAUGCAGUACUUGACAUGUCUUGAAGUGCUGCAGCACUUUGAACCAAAUUCUCAGUCAUCCACUCCAACAACCUAAAUUUAAUUGGAGAAAACCACACCAAGGCAAAAAUGAUGUUUGUCUUGACAAAUGGGGCGUAGAAACAGCACGUGACCAAGCUAGGUGACUAGUCAGUCUUUCCCACAUGUCACAGUUACUGAUCCUCCCCUACUUCAAUCUUUCAGGACCAACAGAUAUUCUCUCCCCCAGUUUCAUGGAGACCUUCAUCAACUUCUCUGAAACCAUCUUAAUCCACUUCCUCCAUGACAAAAGAAAAAAAAAAGGAAUCUGACCCCAUGAUGAUGAUGAUGCAAGAGUUAGUGACAACUUGAAGACUGAUUACUUCUGUUGUCUGACAAAGGCGAUGACUUGACACAUGCAAUCCCAGACCCUCAACUCAACACACCCAAAUGCAUGGACUUCCAAAAGAAAAUAAACAUGCUGAAUGGCAACACCCUCAAACAGAAAUGGCACGACUAAUGGCCAACUUGGCCCAUUCAGCAGAUUCUUUAAUCAUAAGGUCUUCAGAAGACAAGCAUUCAUUUAAAAAGUCUUUGCUUGACGGGGAUUGCUGUAUCAGAGAACCAGCAUGACUUCCCAAUGUAUCAGCUAGAUCUCCAAGGACUCCAAUGGCUGUCUUCAUAACCACAUCAUCCCUAUAGGCAAACAAGUAACAUAAAAAGAUGUUAUUAACCAUACAUCAAAGGACAUGUCAUGCAAUAAAGUAAAAGCCUAAAAGAGUAACUUUUAGUAGAACUCACAUGUCUUUCUCAAUGUAUAUGCUAUCCAAGAACUGAAGGAUGUGAGAUGCAUAGGGAAUCAAGAGCUGGGUUUUUGGAGAGUUCUUAAACCCUUGGAAAACCCCAGAAUAUGCCUCCAGAAUUCCAUUUCUCAGUGAAUUUGUGUACUCUGUCAAUUCAUCAUCACCUGCUGUAUGGGUAGACAACUCUGCUGCACUCUGAAGCGCGGACAUGGCCCACAUUAAGUACUUUUCAAAAUACUCCCCUACGGCCAAUGCAAUGUCGCCGAAGCAUGAAAAUAUGGGAGGUUUCACAGAACGAUGCAACUGGUUGCUUGAUAAAUUCUUGAGAAGUUGUGUCAUAAUCCCGUCACAGUAGGGCACAAUUUUUUCCUCUAUUGCCCUGGAAAUAUCACCAACAACACCAACUGUGACAGCACAGACUUGGUACUCCUCAAAAUUCUGAAGACCCAUCUCCAAGUACCUAUAAAACUCUGGCAUAUACUUUGCAAAAUCUGGUCCUGUUGCAUAAGCAAGGGCUCCAAUGGCAAGCAUGGCCUCCUCGUGUACAGUGGCACUCCUACAAGCAAAAACCCUAAGGAAAAGCCCCAUUAUCUGAUCUGCAUACUGCAUGAGCACAUACUUGGUUGGUUCUGAUGAACCAAGCUUCUGAAUGAUGACCUGUAAACACCCACAAAGAAGGCCCUGCAAUUCACUUUGCUUCUCCCUUUCAUCAGAAGACAGUUUCUGCCCCUCAAGGGUGUUAUGAAGCUCCAUCAUGAUUACAGGCACCAAUUGCAACACCAAUGAAGCUGUCUCAUCGGUUGAACACCUCACCACUUCAUUCAAUGUCUCAUAGGCAGCAGUCCUCAGUCGGGAUUCCCCAGCAUCUUCUCGAUGAGUAACAGUGAGAAGGGACUGGACAAUUUCUUGGAAAAAAGGAGUUAAAGGAGAUGAUGGACCCACCUCCUCAUAACCUUGAGCAAGAAAAUAGAGAGCACCACAGGCUUUCUCAGCAACAUUUGGAGUGUCCUUCAUACUCUGCAGCAGAACUGUGACUAUCUGUUGGCAAUUUGCCUGAGUGAUGAUAGGUGAAUCUACAGCAGAACCAUGAAGGAAUUCAAAGAUCCGUCCAAGGGCCCAGGCAGUAGUGUCUUUGACAUGGCUAUUGGGGUCCUUUGUCAAAGCACUGAGCAUGAAGGUUAAGGCAACAUUCACAAGAGAUAGCAACUUUUCAGGGGAAGGACCCUCCAAGAUUGAACCAAAGGCAUAAGUUGCCGCCUCCCUCUGCCUCCAAUCUGGUUUUGUUAUAUUCUCCUCAAUAAAUGGCACAACAAGAGGGACAAUAUCAUCUCCUACAGUCCGCGCAACCAAACCUAGACAGGUUCCGCCAGCCAUUGCAAUAUUCCAAGCCCCCUCAUCCUGAUCCUGAUCCUCCUCUUGCUUCAAGAGAGUCUCCAACAGCAUAGGAACAAGAGCAGGGAGUGCCUGCUUGAUAAAGUAAAAGCAAGGAAUAUCAGAGUCCCCAGUGAAAUCACUUCCAUAUUCUUCCAAAAUAUCUAUCUCCUCAUCACAUAUUGAACUCCAGAACUCAAUGGCUUGAAGUGAGACAGGUUCCUCAUCUUCCCUCACGGCCUUUGCCGUGAUGUUAAAAAUAUCCUGGAUAUAAGGAGCUAGUUUCUCGUAGUAAGUUGAUGAAAUGGAAACCAAACACUCGAAAGCUGCCUGCCUUAUCCUCACUUCUGGGGAUAGUGUUGCCUCACAGACAACUCUCAUUAUAUAAUCACGCUCCAUGUCAUUGCUGAAAUUUGCCUGAGCAAAUCCCAGUGCAUUGUAAAGUGCCCUUGUAGCAGCAAGCCUCACAUCAGUGUUUCCUUCUGAUGCACUCAUACCUUGAACUACAGCAGUAAGUAUUUUAUUUACUUGAUCUUGAUCAAUAACAUCAGGUGAGACCUCCUCACACAUAUACCCAAGAGUCUCUAAAGUGGCUUGCGUAGCAUGAGCUGGUAGCUGAUGAACAUUUGAUAAAAGCAAACUUAUCAACUCAGGCCACUGUUUCUGUGGCAACUCAAUGCCAGCAACCUUGGCAAUAACUUGAGAUGCAGUUGACCGAGCAUCAGAUACUGGAGAAGACAGAGUCUUCAGUAAGCAUGCCUUAAUCUGGCUCUUUGCAUUGGUGUCCAAUGACAACCAUCUUUGAACCAGCUCAAACUUCCUGUGCUGUUCCUUCGCAUCCAACGCAUUCUUAAGUAUCAAACCCGCUAAUUUACGUGUUUCAACAGGCUUCUCCUCAUUUGCCAACUCCACAGAAAGUGACAGCAAGAAACCAGGAAGGUUCUGCUCCUGGAACUGUUUCAAGCUUUCUUCAGCAGUCUUGCGCACAGCUCCAUCUAUAGAUUGUGCAUUUAAAAGCACCUGUGUAACUUCCAUCGCCCUAAUAUUUUGAAAAGCAUCAAUAAUUAAAACAAAUAGAUACACAAAUUCAAUAAAUAAAGUAACAUAUAUAUUCCAACACCUCGAUUCUGAAAACACAUCCAACCUAAAGGAAAACCCAAACCCUUAAAUUUGUUGAAGAAGAGUAAAAGACAGUAACAAGAAUAAAUCAAAUGCAGCGAUUACAUCAAAUUGAUCCAUCAAAACGUUAUUGUCAGCUCUACAUACAUACUUGGUAACUGAUAGGAUCACUCAAAUAUUCGGGAUCAAUUGUGCCAAUUUGCCAUUAAAAACUUAAACUUUAAAAUUUGGCAAAUAAAAUCAAACAAAAAUCCCAGAUCAUAAUAGAUUUAAAAUAAAUACAAUAAUACUUAGAAAUUCUAUCGCUCAAAUCUUUCCCAAAAAAGAAAAAUCUAAUCCUCUAACUAGUACUACAAAUAAACAACACCCUAAGAUUAAAAAAACGAAAAAGGAGAGCGGAUCAAUGCAUUGAAUAUCGAAUAACCAAAUCACUACCCAAAACCCUAAUUACAAGCAGAAAUGAAACUUUAAGAGCGGAAUUCGACAAAAUUACCUUAAAAUUCACGAAAUUCGAUGCAGAUUUUACUUUCCACCGAUCGGAGAAGGCCGAAAGGGGCUGAGUAGAACCCUAGUAUUAGGAGAGAGAAAAUGAAAAAGGAAAAGGAAAAGGACGAAUAAGAAGAAGAUGGAGACGCGGAUUCGGAGCUGGCCUCAAGUAAUUUAUACAAAUCUAUAUUUUUAUAUUAUUUUUUAGGGGAAAUGUUAACUGUACUACUUAACUUGAUAGUAUUACUUCUACGAUACUGUCUUCUUUUUUUUUUUAAAAAAAAAAGGGGGUAAAUUUGAUGCAUUAAAUGAAAAUUAUUUUUAAAAAGAAUAAUGUAAGUAACUUCAAAAGUGCUUAUAGCCAUUUUCUCAUUUUAACUUAAUAUUUCAGGAUUUUCUUUAUUAAAUUGUGCCAAAAUUGUGUACAUUUUAUUUUAUUUUCAAACAAUUACUGUGUUUUCAAUAUUUCACAUUAAUUUUAGUAGUUUUUUAUAUUUGAAUUUAAAAAAUAGAAUUUAUCAAUAUUAUAAAAUAAAAAAUAAAUUUGAAUUUAAUAUCUCUGAUAUUAUUUCUAAGGGAUGAUUUAAAAAACAGUUUUCAGAAAUUAAUUAAUAUAAUAGUAUUUAAAAAUGUCGUCGUAUUGAUGAGUAGAAUGAUUCUAAAAAGAAAAGACGAGACGCUUACAACACUUAACAAAACGGGUUCCGCAAGGUGUCUCAAUGGGGCCACUUUUAAGCUUUGUUUAAUCUUGCAUGGGGCAACUUGGUGGUAAUUAAGAUUUGCUUACGGAAAAAAAGUCAUCCUGGUUAACGGUUAAGAUUGCUUUAUAAGAACCUACGUUGACAUUCAAGUCUUCUCGGUCAUCUGAAGCGGACCGUCCAAAGACGUUAGUAAAGUUUUUGGAUUUGUACUUUGUAACUAUAGAGUUGGUUUCUGAAGCAGUUAUACUUUAUAUAUGGUAAGGCCACGUUCGGUUGACAAAGUGCGUUUCUUGUUUUCCUAGUAAUUAAUACCAUUACUAAGACAGGUUUUAAUUACGUGAACUACAUUUUAGUGUACCGAGUGCUCUUCAUUUCUCAUGUUCGUGACUCCCUUGUAUGGAUUCCUCCCAUUCCUAGUUUCUGAGUUUCCUAUUAGCAUUUUGGAAAUUGGACAAGUGAUCUGGUCUCACUCGCAUCACACGGCUGAAAACAGACGAAGAUUCUCAAAGGAAGGAAUUGUGUGCUUUAGGUGGCACUCAGUUCAAGACAAAGGAGGAGUUUGGUUCCUUCCUCCUCCUCACUUUGAAGAUAAUUUUCAUAAAAAUCUAUAUAUGUUCUGUUCAUUUGCAUGUCUACAUCAUAAUGAUAAUGGUUUGGGAUGUUUUGCUCGAAAUGCCCAACCAGGGAGUUGAGGAAAGGAGGUGGUCUGAUAUUUUCUUUUUUCUUGAUAUACCUUCUAUGACUUCUUACUUUGGUAUAUCUUCUAUGAAUUGAAUCCUUUCUCACUUUUUACCUUUCUUUCAAGCACCACAUUAUACCCUAAUUCAUUAGUCCUAUGGACCAAAUAAACUACAUUAAUAAUUUUAAUCUGGAAAUGAACUAAGACUUACAAGAAAAGGCGUAAGAAAAGCAGCUUCAUUCCUUGGAGGGAAAUGCAAUGCAAGAGCUACAGCCCAAUCAAAUUUAAUCAAAGCUACAGAAAUUCUAAAAUGAAGCAAAAAGGCAACUGCCCUAUUUAAGCAUUUAAUCAAGAUAUACAUUGCCUCAUCCAGCCCUUUUCAUGUCAAGCCCACAUUUUGAUAUGGUAUCACUUUCUAUAAGCAGUGACAACUAAAAAUAAAAUUAUACAAUCCCAACUCUGAAGCAACGGGAAAAAAAAUUGUAUAAUGGAAGGAAACAGAAAACAGAUAAUUUAUGAAUGCAUGAUAUUGAACAUUUGACUCAAGACCUUCUAAAAAUUGAAAUUAAACAGAAGAAGAAAAAAGGAACAACAAUAAUGCAAUGCAGGAUGGAAUGAUCCCAAUAGCAUAUGCAGUACGUGGUUAACCCCAGACCCCACUGAAAUAAAAUAUACAAACUAUGCAGCAGAGAAUAAAUGCAACCCAGCCACUAGUGUAUACUUAAGAAAUAUGCCGACUUGAACUAGAAAAAGAUGGGGGUGAGGAACGAUCAGAACCCAAACUAGGUGAUGGAAGGCCAAUGGUGAAAUGCAGCACUUGAGAUGUCUUGAAGUGCUGCAGCACUUUGAACCAAAUCCUCAGUCAUCCACUCCAACAACCUAAGUUUACAUGGAGAAAACCACACCAAGGCAAAAAUGAUGUUUGUCUUGACACAUGGGGCGUAUAAACAGCAAGUGACCAAGCACCUGACUAGUCAGUCACUCCAGCUUGUCAGUUACUGAUCCCUCCCUACUUCAAUCCUUCAGGACCAAAAGAUAUUCUCAACCACAAUUCAUGGAGGUGCUCAUUAACUUCUCUGAAACCAUCUCUAUCCUCUUCCUCCAUGACAAAAAUAUGGAAUCUGACCCCAUGAUGAUGAUGAUGAUGAUGAUGAUGAUUGAUGAUGAUGCAAGAGUUAGUGACAACUUGAAGACCGAUUACUUCUGUUGUCUGACAAUGGCGAUGACUUGACACAUGCAAUCCCAGACCCUCAACUCAACACACCCAAAUGCAUGGACUUCCAACAGAAAAUAAACAUGCUGAAUGGCAACACCCUCAAACUGAAAUAGCACGACUAAUGGCCAACUUGGCCCAUUCAGCAGAUUCUUUAAUCAUAUGGUCUUCUGAAGACAAGCAUUCAUUUAAAAAGUCUUUGCUUGAGCGAGAUUGCUGUAUCAGAGAACCAGCAUGACUUCCCAAAGUAUCAGCUAGAUCUCCAAGGACACCAAUGGCAGUUUUCAUGACCACAUCAUCCCUAUAGGCAAAUACAUAACAUAAAAAUUGUUAAUAAAAACACAUCAAAAUUCAAAUAACAAGCCAUUCAGUAGAGUAAAAGCUAAUAAGAGUAUCUUUCGGUAGAACUCACAUGUCUUUCUCCAUGUAUAUGCCAUCCAAGAAUUGGAGAAUGUGAGGUGCAUAGGGAAUCAAGAGCUGAGUUUUUGGAGAGUUCUUAAACCCUUGGAAAAUCCCAGAAUAUGCCUCAAGAAUUCCAUUUCUCAGAGAAUUUGUGUAUUCUGUCAAUUCAUCAUCACCGGCUGUAUGGGUAGACAACUCUGCUGCUCUCUGAAGUGCGGACAUGGCCCACAUUAAGUACUUUUCAAAAUACUCUCCCACUGCCAAUGCAAUGUCGCCAAAGCAUGAAAAUAUGGGAGGCUUUACAGAACGAUGCAACUGGUUGCUUGAUAAAUUCUUGAGAAGUUGUGUCAUAAUACCAUCACAGUAAGGCACAAUUUUUUCCUCCAAUGCCCGGGAAAUAUCACCAACAACACCAACUGUGACAGCACAGACUUGGUACUCUUCAAAAUUCUGAAGACCCAUUUCCAAGUACCUAUAAAAAUCUGGCAUGUACUUUGCAAAAUCUGGUCCUGUUGCAUAAGCAAGGGCUCCAAUGGCAAGCAUGGCCUCCUCAUGUACAGUAGAACUCCUACAAGCAAAAACCCUAAGGAAAAGCCCCAUUAUCUGAUCUGCAUACUGCAUGAACACAUACUUGGUUGGUUCUGAUGAACCAAGCUUCUGAAUAAUGACCUGCAAACACCCACAAAGAAGGCCUUGCAAUUCACUCUGCUUCUCUCUUUCAUCAGAUGACAGUUUCUGCCCCUCCAGAGUGUUAUGAAGCUCCAUCAUGAUGACAGGCACCAAUUGCAACACCAAUGGAGCUGUCUCAUCGGUUGAACACCUCACCACUUCAUUCAAUGUCUCAUAGGCAGCAGUCCUCAGCCGUGAUUCCCCUGCAUCUUCUCGGUGGGUGACAGUGAGAAGGGACUGGACAAUUUCCUGGAAGAACGGAGUUAAAGGAGAUGAUGGACCCACAUCCUCAUAACCUUGAGCAAGAAAGUAGAGAGCACCACAGGCCUUCUCAGCAACAUUUGGAGUGUCCUUCAUACUCUGAAGGAGCACAGUGACUAUCUGCUGGCAAUUUACCUGAGUGAUGAUGGGUGAAUCUACAGCAGAACCAUGAAGGAAUUCAAAGAUUCGUCCAACAGUCCAGGCAGUAGUGUCUUUGACAUGGCUGUUGGGGUCCUUUGUCAAAGCACUGAGCAUGAAGUUUAAGGCAACAUUAACAAGAGGUAUUAACUUUUCGGGGGAAGGACCCUCCAAGAUUGAACCAAAGGCGUAAGUUGCCGCCUCCCUCUGCCUCCAAUCUGGUUUUGUUAUAUUCUCCUCAAUAAAUGGCACAACAAGAGGGACAAUAUCAUCACCCACAGUCCGUGCAACCAACCCAAGACAGGUUCCCCCAGCCAUUGCAAUAUUCCAAGCCCCUUCAUCCUGAUCCUGAUCUUCCUCCUGCUUCAAGAGUGUCUCCAACAGCAUAGGAACAAGCGCAGGGAGUGCUUGCUUGAUAAAGUAAAAGCAAGGAAUAUCAGAAUCACCAGUGAACUCACCUCCAUAAUCUUCCAAAAUAUCUAUCUCCUCAUCACAUAUUGAACUCCAGAACUCAAUGGCUUGAAGGGAGACAGGUUCCUCAUCUUCCCUCACAGCCUUUGCUGUGAUGCUAAAAAUAUCCUGGAUAUAAGGAGCUAGUUUCUCGUAGUAAGUUGAUGAAAUGGAGACCAAACACUCGAAAGCUGCCUGCCUUAUCCUCACUUCUGGGGACAGGGUUGCCUCACAGACAACUCUCAUUAUAUAAUCACGCUCCAUGUCAUUGCUGAAAUUCGCCUGAGCAAAUCCCAGAGCAUUGUAAAGUGCUCUGGUAGCAGCAAGCCUCACAUCAGUGUUUCCUUCUGAUGCACUCAUACCUUGAACUACAGCAGUAAGUAUUUUAUUUACUUGAUCUUGAUCAAUAAUGUCAGGCGAGACCUCCUCACACAAAUAUCCAAGAGUCUCUAAAGUGGCUUGCUUAGCAUGAGCUCGUAGCUGAUGAAUAUUCGAUAAAAGAGAACCUAUCAACUCGGGCCACUGUUUCUGUGGCAACUCAAUGCCAGCAACCUUGGCAAUGACUUGAGAUGCAGUUGAUCGAGCAUCAGCUACAGCAGAAGAGAGAGUCUUUAACACGCAUGCCUUAAUCUGGCUCUUCGCAUUGGCGUCCAAUGACAACCAUCUUUGAACAAGCUCAUAUUUCCUGUGUUGUUCCUUAGCAUCCAAUGCAUUCUUAAGUAUCAAACCUGCCAAUUUACGUGUUUCAACAGGCUUCUCCUCAUUUGCCAACUCCCCAGAAAGUGACAGCAAAAAAGCAGGAAGGUUCUGCUCCUGAAAUUGUUUCAAGCUUUCCUCAGCAUUCUUCCGCACAGCUCCAUCUAUUGAUUGUGCAUUCAAAAGCACCUGUGUAACUUCCAUCGCCCUAAUAUUCCUGCAAGAACAAUGACAGAAAUUCAAAAGGUAAUACAAUAAAGCUUAAAUAUUCCAACACCUAAAUCCUGAAAACGCAUAAAAGGCCAAAAAAAAAUAAAGGAAAAAGAAAAAACCGUAUUAUGAGUAACACUAUCUGAACUAAGGGCAAACUAACAUGAAACAGAACCUUAAAAUUAAUCGAAAAAGUGUAAACGAAAGUAACAAGAAUGAAACCAAUGUGCCGCAAAUAAAUCAAAUUGAUCCAUCCCUAUUGUCAUUUUUACUUACAUACUAAGCAACUGAUAGGGAACACUUAAAUAUUUGGGAUCAACGUAGCAAUUCGACAUUGAAAACUUAAACUUCGAAAUUUUGGCGAGCAAAAAUUCAAACAAAAAUCCUAGAUCACAUUAGAUUUAAAUUAAAUACAAUAACACUUAGAAAUUCGAUCGUUCAAAUCUUUCCAAAAAAAAUUAUAAUACUCUAAUUAGUACUACCCUAAAAUUAUAAAACAAAAAAGAAAGCGGAUCAAUGCAUCCAAUAUCGAAUGCCCAAAAUCACUAUCCAAAACCCUAAUUACAAACAAAAAUGAAACCUUCAGAAAGGAGUUCAACAAGAUCACCUUAAAAUUCACGAAGUUUGAUGCAGACUUUACCUUUCACCGAUCGAAAAGAUCGAAAGCGGCUGAGCUGAACAAAACCCUAAUAAUUGAAGAUAGGAAAUGAAAAAGAAAAAAAAGGAAACGGAGGAAGAGGAGAAGGAGAAGCGGAUUUGAAGCAGGACUAGAAUAAUUUAUACCAAAUCUAUAUUUUAAAUCAUUUUUUAAAUAGUAUAUUUGUAGUAUUAAUUCCUUUGGCCGUUUUUGGCUAGUACGUGUUCCACAGGGUGUCAAAGUGGACCCACCUAAAAGUUGACCGACUUUCUACGUGGGCAAUUUGGUAAUUAGGAUUUGCACAUGAAGAAAGUCAGCUGACUUAAUGGUUAAGGUGGCUUUAAAAGAAACACAGUUGACAUCUGUCAUCAUAUGGUACGUUUAGUAAUUGUACAGUUAGAUUUUGUUACUUCAGCAGAACAAGCAGUCUAAUGUCCAUUUAUGGUUAAACUUUUUCUUAAAAGAUUAAAAAAAAAACAAAAGAAUUAAUGCAGAAAAUCUAGUUGAUAAUGUGGGUCUUUUUUUUAUUUCUACUAAUACCAUUAUUAAGACAGAUUUUCAGAAAUUAAGUUUAAUGAAUAUGAUUAAAAAAAACAUGAGCUUUUUAUUUAAUGAACAUGUAUCAAAUUUCAUCUUAAUUAUUGAAGCUUGUUUGAUGAAAAUUUUCUUUUGCAUGGAAUGAUAGCAAAGAUAGAUAAAAAUUAAAAUCCAUCGAUUUAUUUUAAUCAGUAUUCAUACAUAGAUCUAAUAAAUAUGAUACAAAAUUAAAUAGAUUUAGGUUUAAGAUAAUUGUGUUUCGUAUUUUAAUUGUAUCCCUUGUCUUAAAUGUGUCAAAUACAUUUAAUCCAUUUAAGAUAUAUUUAAUUAUUUGUGUUAUUAUGUAUUCCUAUAACCUACUGCCUAUUUCAUUAAUCAUGUACAUGUGCCUAUUGACACAUUUAUAACCCAAUUAUCACCCGUUUAAAUCUCAUAUAAAUAUUUUAUUUAUUAUAAUUGAUGAUGAUAGUGGUAGAUUUUUAUUAUACUUGAUGAAUAUUAUUGUUUUAUUAGUAAUUUUUUAUGAUUAUUAAUUUUAAAUUUGACUAAUGAAAUUACAUUUCAUUUAUAAUUAUAUGCAUUUUAAUUUAAUUAUGUUUAAAAUUUUAAUCAUGUUAAUCAUUUAAAUAAGUUACAAAUCAUGUCGUUUCAUAAAAAAUUUAUUUCAUUUCGAUUAAUAAACGUGUUAAACAUGUUAUGUUAUAUUACAUGUUUUAUAAAUGUAUUUGUAUUAAUAUUUAAGAUAUUAACAAGUUUAAUUAAUAGCAUAUUGGUAUUUACUUAUAUAAUUAUUAAUAUUUUAUAUUUUCAUAACAUGGUUAAGACACAUGAACUUCAAAGAAGCCUUAAAAAAAAAAAAAAACAAAAGAACAAUAUUGGUCAAAGGAAGAUGGAGUGACAAAUUUAUACAAAAGCUUUUGCUCUAUUUCUGAUCUGUUCCCUUGUCUAUUUACAGAAACACAAGCCAAAAUUAUUGGACUUGGUUUUCUUUUAUCAUGUGCUGGGAAUGGGAUGGGAUGUUACAUAAUCCAAAUCCAAAGCAUUGCAUGAAUUACGUUUCUAGAGACUAGAGUUCGUCAUGGUCAUCAUCAUAGUCGUCAUCGUCGAUGCUGUCAUCAUAGAGUGAGUUGUAGAAUAUGCUCUCGUGAUUGAGAAUCUCUUCCAUGGUCAAAUUCCCAUCUUUGUUAUCAUCAGCCUGGAGUCAAAACAAAAUUCAGAAACCCAUGGAGUAUUUUACAAAUUCAAACAAUAUCAUUAUACAAUUAUUAAUUGACUUCACCUCGUAAAUCAGAUAACUGGUGUAGUACUUGGCGUAAAACAGUUCACCAGGGUAGAGAUAACGGAGUAUGGGUCUCAAUUCAUCCAGCUCCAGGUAUCUGCAAAAGGGCUCAAAGUUGUAUAGAUGGUUAUAAAUUUAUAGGAUCACCACCAGUUAUUGGAAGAGAAAAUAGAAAUUACUUGUCUUCGUUGAUAUCUAGCUCUACGAAUUUCUCUUCAGCUGUGGGUGCAAGAGCAGCAGCAGUCUCGAAUUCAGCAUAGCUUUUGUAUAUGUUGUAUGCAUAAUCGAGAAAUUCCUUGAAGUUGAGUUUGCCAUCGUGAUCAUCGUCCAUCCGUCUGCUCAAUCAGGGAAAAUCAUCAUAACUUUAUCCAGCGCAAGCAAAUGAUAGAAACAGAGAAAACGUGAGGAAACAAACUUCAUUUUUUCUCUCAACAGCCAUUUCUGAAUUUCUUCGUUGUCACUAUCCUCCGGAUGUAAGAAACUGUAGGAAAAAGGAUUGGGUAAACCUGAUCGAUAUAGCUUUGCAGUAUUGACCAAAGAAGCCAACCCACCCCCACCCCCGNAGAAAGUAUUUACUCUUUGAAUUCGUUGAAGUCAAGAGUCCCAUUGGAAUUCAGGUCUGCAUUGUUAAAUUGCUCCAUCCACCAUCCAGCUUCACCGUGCUCUUUUCUAUUUUUUGCUGUUCCACAUUCAACUUUUCAAUUCAUAUGCAAAGAAAUCUUAUUGUUGCAUCUAUUUGGCUAUAAUUAAGGAAACUAGGAACAUUUUAUAUCAAUUACAUUAAACAUUUGAACCCAGAUAUAGCCAAAGAUUUCAAAGUUUCUUUCCUUACCUAUAUCAUUCUCGUUAAAAUGAGGCAGAUACUCGCUGAAGCUGAUAGCUCCAUCCCCAUUUUUAUCGUGCCAUGACAUGACUUUAUUGGUUCUAAAACUCAAACGAUCCAUUGCCUGUUGCCCAAUCCAAGCCCCUAGCUCCUUGGCACUGAUUAAACCAUCUUUCGGUGCACUGUCUAGCAAAGGGAACAAAAUCAUCAACCGCAGAGUGGUGUUUAAAGUUCCGUCGUCGCCGAAGAACUCGUCGGCGUCUGCAACCUCAGGAACAUAAGAAAUGUGUUCCGGAUCAACGUGAUAGCUCAAUCCUUUUUCUUCCGCCGAUCUCUCGAGUCUUGCGACCAGAGGGUCAAAAUGUGGAGCUUUGUAGCCAAGGCGGCGACUCAGGCCUGAACGGGUAUGAUGACCAUGCCGUUUGUUUUGGAAGAACACGAAUAAAAUGAUGAAGGCGGUGGCCAGAAAGGUGUAAACCACCGCCUUCGCCAUUUAAUGGCUUCAACAGGGAUUAGGGAUGAGUGGAUAAUGGUAGCAUAAACAAUAACGGGAAAGUUCAAUGAAGUUAGAUAAUGAUUUUCCCGUCUCUUUCCUUUUUUUUUUCUUUUUUUUUAUUAUCCAUUGAAGUCAAUGAACAUGGGGUGGCGGGAAAAACGGUUAUUGGCAGUUAGAAUCGAGAGGCAUAUACAUAAAGCACUCAAAUUAGGGGGGGUUUAAAUUUAAUUCAGAGAUUUGGGUUUUCUUUGAUUUAUUAGGCUUUUUAACUUUACUUUGUUUUCAGAAGCCAAAAGGAGAAAGUUAGACAGGCAUGCUAAUUCUUGCCUACUUCAUAAAAUCUUCAAUGUUCAAAUCUGUGUAACACUUUUGACAUUAGCGGCCAAGGUUGUCCCAACACAAGGCCUGUUCUGAUCGGAUUACACUACCACCAAUGAGCUUUAUUGGUCCACGUCAUCAUGAACGACAAGUUCCAAUGUCCGAGGUUUGAACACAAACACACCGAUAGUUGCGGUAUAAGCUACCAUGUAAACCUCAGUUAACGACCAAUGUCUCUGCACUCUAGUCUAUCAAAGAUGCAUUUCUCAUUAAUUAAGACUAGGAAGCAAGCGAACAAAGAAGAAAGAAGAAAAUCGUGGAGCUUCUUCACUUGGCUCACUAUUGCAAAUUAAAGAGGAGGCCACCAAGUUCGGGAACGGUAAUUGGGACAGACCUUGGCGCGACUUAUUCUUGUGUUGGUGUGUACAGAAAUGGUCAUGUUGAGAUCACAGCCAAUGACCAGGGUAACAGAAUUACCCCUUGGUGGGUGGCAUGCCAUAUAGUGACAGUGAGAGAUUGAUUGACAGGUGAGGCAGCAAAUAAUCAGGAGGCUGUCAAUCCUGAGAGGACCGUCUUCGAUGUCAAAAGACUUAAUCGAAGAAAGUGAAUAUUCUCAGUUUAUAAUUUGUGCAUCAAAUAGCUGAACGGGGUUUUUGGCUGAUUUGAUGACAGAGGGGUUCAGAAGGAAAGCUUGUAGCAUGCAAGAUUGUUAACAAGGAUGGGAAGCCUUGUAUUCAAGUGAAAAUUAAGGAUGAGGAAACCAAGGUCUUCAGCCCUGAAGAGAUAAGUGCAAUGUUUCUUACAAACAUGAAGGAAACAGCAGAGUCAUUUCUUGGAAAGAAAAUGAAAGAUGCCGUCGUUACUGCUUCAAAUAACAUUCUUUUUUAUCUGUAGAAGUCAGAUCUUGUUGACUUACAAGGUAAACUAUGGUUUCUGUUUCUGAAGGUUGACUUGAAUUUGCUUGUAUAAAUGUCAGCAGCUUACUUCAAUGACGCACAAGGGCAAGCUGCAAAAUGAUUCCGGUACACGAUUGCUGGACUGAAUAUUGCUAGAAUAAUCAAUGAACCAACUGCAGCAGCCAUUGCCUAUGGUUUGGACAAAAGGGUAGUGAAAAGAACGUUCUUGUCUUUAACCUUGGCGGUGAAACAUUUGAUAAUGGUGCUUUUGAAGCUCUUACCACAAAUGGAGAUACUCAUUGGGGGAGGCAGGCUUCUUUCUGGCUACCACGUUGCUUCGGCUGGUAACCUCUCAGUUGAAAAUUCGACAAAGAAUCAGGACUAAUGCAGACUAAUAUUUUCUUCAGGAGAGGAUUUUCAUCGGAGAAUCAUGGAAUACUUCAUUAAAUUGAUCAAGAAAAAAAAAGAAUGGAAAGGACAACAAAGCUUUCGGAUAGUUAAGGAGAGAAUGUGAGCGAGCCAAGAGAGCACUGAGCAGCCAGCAUCAGGUCCGCGUGGAGAUUGAAUAUCUGUUUGAUGAAACAGAUUUCUGAAACCACUUCCUCAAGCUCGAUUUGAAGAGUUGUAUAACGAUCUGUUCAGAAAACCAUGGGACCUGUCAAGAAAGCCAUGGAGGACGCUGGUUUGCAGAAGCACCAGAUUGAUGAAAUUGUAUUUGUUGGUGGAAGCACUUGAAUUCCCAUGGUUCAACAGCUUCUUAAGGAAUUCUUUGAUGGGAACGAACCAAACAAGGGUGUGAACCCAGAUGAGGCCGUCGCAUAUGGUGCUGCUAUAUAGGUAAGUAUCUAGAGUGGAGAAGGAGGCGACAGAACCAAAGGUAAAAAUUCUUUUUCCAAAUUUCCAGUUUCUAUAUCUCUUUCCUAUUGUUGAUCAAGCAGGUUCCGGAAGCUGAGAACUGACUAUUGUUUUUGUCAUCAAAUGUGCUUCAGAUAUACUUCUACCGGAUGUGGCACCGCUGACCUUGGCAACGAAACUGUUGGUGGGGUGAUGACCAGGUUUUUGACGGUGAAAGGAGUCUCACAAAGGACUACAGGAUGCUUGGGAAAUUCCAUUUAUUUGAUAUUGCUCCAGCUCCAAGGUGAAUAAUUUACCAUGGCUGUCAUCCAUCUGUUUUAAGAAAAUUCACGUCCUGGAUCCUGUUAGCAAGGAAGGUAACGGUAGUUCUCUGCUUCCACUAAUUUCUGGAUUGUUUAAGAUUUUGGAUGCUUGUAAAUAGAUGUGGGACCGUUUAUGAUACCUUCACUGGUUGGUCCUUAUUUUGGCUGUGUUUUUUGUAAGUCAGGUUUGUAACUGACUGCUGUCUCAAGUCAGAUUCUUUUGUAAAUUACAGGGACUCCCUGUCUUGAUCAAUGAAAAUCCUUACUUAUUCAAAAAAAAAAAAGAAAAUUCAUGAAAAUGCGUGCCAACUCGUUUGUUUCAACAGAGGAACCCCCAGAUUGAAGUUACAUUCGAGGUAGAUGCAAUGGUGUAUUAAACGUUAGGGCAAAAGACAAGGCCUCGGGGCGGCGGUCUGAGAAGAUUACAAUUGCCAAUGACAAAGGUAGGUUGAGUCAAGAUGAGAAUUGACCGUAUGGUUCAGGAAGCAGAGCAGUUUGCCGAGGAAGACAAGAAGAUGAAAGCGAAGAUCGAUGCUUGAAUAGCUUGGAGAACUAUGUUUACAAUAUGAAGAACCACAUAAAUGACUAAGGCAGGCUUGCUGAGUCUGAAGAGGAGGAGAAGAUAGAUUCAGCAAUUAAAGACGCCCUGGAGUGGUUGGAUGACAAGCAAAAUGCAGAAGAGGACUUUGCUGAGAAGCUGAAAGAGGGGGGGUUGUCAAGAGUAGAGAGACAGGGAAAAGGGCGAGGAUUGCUCCCCUGUAUGCUUCCUAUUUCACAUGUUCAAUUUUGGGUGGGGAAGUGAAAAUGACAAGUUUAUUAAAUUUACAUUUUAAAACAUUUAUCAUUUUAAUAAUAAAUAAUUUAUUUAAAUUUUUAAAUAUAUUUUUAAAUAUUAAUAUAUGAUACUGUUUUUAUUAUCUAAUAAUAAAAUAAUAAUUAAAUGAGCGAACCAAAUUGAACUAAAAUUUGAUAACUUAAAAAAAAAAUCAUAUGAACCCAACUCAAUCCACCGAUGAACACUGCUUAACAUGUCCAUGUAUUAAACUUAAAUUUUGAUAUUUAACCAUAAUUUUAAGGAUUAAAACCAUAUUUUCAAUAAAAUAAUUGUAAAUCAAACAUUAAAAUAUUAUAUUUUUAAAACUUUAAUCCAAAACUUUUUCAUUUAUACCAAUGGCGAUGAUAUUAAAACACCAAACACCACCUUAAGGAGCUGCCCAACCGUCCAGCCGAAGAGGCAGAGUUUUGUUAUCGAUUACACAUGGUCCUCGUACAUUUAAAUCUCAACUCCCACCAACAACCAGUUAGGUUAACUGCUCACAACCCCCACACCGUCCACGACAUAACGGUAUAUAUAACAAAACUCUGCUCAAACCCUUCGAAGGGAGACACCCGUGUUGUCACUAGUCCGCAUACUUUAACUAGAUCAGUAACUGGUGAUAUAGUCACACGAAUGAAUAAACCUCUCUCUUUUUUACCACCUUCAAAAGAAAGCAUUUGAAUUCAUUUCACUGGCUAAAUAUUCUCUUCAAUAUAAUUAGGGAGAAAGAGGGAGCAGUAAUUAAGAAGAUGAGGGCAAUAAAUGAACAACAUAGUGCCCCACAUUAGCAUAUAACUAUGGAAAAAGAACAAAAGGUUGUUUAUAGCCAUAUACAUCCAUGAGUAAUUUGUCAAGAACUAUUUUAACUGAAAGCAAACUCAGCAUAACCCAUAGGUUAAUCGGCUUUGCCUGCACAUUGCAACCAAGGCCAAUCCAACGCACACAGGUCAACUGGAGAGUUGCCAUCAUCGUCCUCCAUAUCUUUGUCUGCAUUUUGUUUCACAAGAAAUUCAGCAAUGUCUUCCCUCUCACACACAACAGCGUAAUGCAAGGGGGUUUGGCCUUCAUUGUCCUUCCAAUAGAAAAAUAAAGAUUUUAACAACACUGAUGACAACACCAGAAACAGAGAGAAUAAUAUAUGAAAAAUAUUGUGCACCGUUGAAUAGGUCCAAGCUGACGCAUGAACCACCCAAAACUCUUAUUUCUCAUUUACUUCAGUACUCUAUUGAAACAUAAAACAUUGCAAAGACAAUAUUUCAUAAUUUUUGUCAUGCAUUACAGACCCAUCAAGAAAACUAUGAGUAGUUUCAGCAAGCAGAAAAAUAUCAGGGAGUAAAAACCAAUUAAUUGUGACACCAACAACAAUAACUACCUUAGCAUUCACAUCAGCAUUCCUGCUAACAAGUGCUUCCGUAAUUUUAAAAUGGCCACGGUCUACAGCCCAAUGCAAUGGGGUCCUGCCUUCACUAUCUGCAUGCAUCAUAAGCAGAGAGCUUAGAAGGUUAUGCAAGUCUUUCAAAUCCCUGGUAUGCAAGUCUAGUUCUUUCUUUAAAGGAAAAAAAACAGCUUCAUAGAAACAAACCUCGCAAAUUCACAGAAACAUCACUUUCAAUGCAUUUAAGCAAAUUAUCCAGUUCUCCUUCUCUAGCAAAAGCAUGAAUAGCAUCCAUUUUCCUGAAAAAGAAUAAUCCUUUAGCAUUCCCAUCAAAAUUCUUAGUUACUAAAGAACUAUACCCUCUGAUCUGAAGGAAGUGUUAAAGAAUUUUUGGAGAAGGAAAGUUUAAUUCAUUAAUGAAUCACUUACAAAAAUGCACCCCUUUGUCUAACAGGAACCAUUUCAUAGUCCAAAAAAGCACAACCAUAUUAACAACCAGCACAUAGCGACUUACACUAUACCUAAGGCAUCAUAAAUGAACAAGUAACAUCAAUGCUUGUGAAAGAGAUUCAGAAUUCCCUACAAACAGCAAAAGAUGAACCCAUAAUGCACAGAACAAACAGUAAAAUAUAACUAUCUGACUUAUGUCCAAAAUCAGACUUGAAAACAUAAAUCCUGGAAGGGGCACAUUCCUUUUUCAUAGUCCAUAGUUAAAUGACCUUUGACUGUGGAAGGUUCCAUAAAUAUAUUGUAUUGGAUAGGAAGAUGAUAAGUAGAACCACAACAUAGUAUAACAAGAAGAGAAUUUUACUAUCAUGAGUAAAAAAGUAAACAUGCUUAAUUAUACCUCAAGAAAGGAAGAAUUUUUUCUAUUCAAAUUUCCAUAUGACUCUUGCAUGUUUAAAACCGAUUACUCCAUCACAAACAACAGUAACUUCAAAGACCUACAUAAGUUUGCUCAAGCAAAUAUCAGAUAUCUAUAAGAUAAAUCAUCAACCGCACAAAUAAAUUCAAGCCUGAUCACAUAUAUACAACUAAAGGUCGAGUUUACAUCAAAAUGUACCCAAAAAACAAUUCAAUUGGUAUUCUCCUAACUUGUUAACCUCAGUGAGACAUAAAUAGACCUAAUAAAUAGCAUUUAAAAACACCCGAUGGAAGUUCCAAGAACCUUACAACUCAUUUCCAGAUUCCUCUUCAUACACAAAAGAGCUGAAAACUGGUCCCAUUGGUCCUCUGGCAUCUCUACUUGCAGCAUUUUCAGCCCCACCUUUGCUCUUCUAGGAACAAAAGUUGAUAAAUCAGUAAAUCAGCAACACAAAAGAAAAAAAAAAGUAGAUAAUAAAACAGUAUCAAAGAAACGGCAAGAUAGCAACAGAAAAGAUUAAAAUUGCACCAUAGCUGAACCAGCAGCCCAAGUUGGAUAUAGCUCUGUAACGAUGUCAAUGUAUUUCUGCAUUGCUUCUUCUGGAGGCAUAGCACCCAAUUUGUGCCAUGCUUGCCUAACAAAAAUAUGAUAUCCAUAUUCAAAUAUUAGGAAUGUAAAUUCUCAAGCAAUUUGCAAUCAUUUAAAUGUUGAAUUAUGUAGUAGAAACAAUUCUCAAGCUAAAUGGCAGUGCCUCACAAUGUGGGAGUAAUAAAAGAAGAAAAAAAAAGGACAAGCAAACUUUGCCGAUUGAAUGAGAAAACAUGUCAAUUAUCAUUCAUCACCAACUUUACCCAAAUGUCUACUCAUAAUAAGUGCUUCAAGAAAACAAGCUGAACUUUGAAUCGUAAAAAGAUCAAAGAAUACACUUCUCAGAGCCAAGUGAAAACUUUUAUCAAAGAAUCUGUUGUUGCCAGCGAAGCAAAUUAAAUUAUACUCAGCAAGCUCAGUUGUAGAAUUCACAUUUCCCAAAAUAAGAAACAGCCCACCAACAAACCAACAAAAAAUAGACGAAGAAAUUAGAAAAGAAAAAAAAACAGAAAACGCCAAUAAGCACCGUCUUACCACUUAGCACGAGCCGUCAUUUUCAAAGCAGAAGGCUGAGGAGCAGUGCAAGGACCUUCAGUGGCAAUUUUGUACAAACCGUAAAGCUGCAACUGCACCUCACUCGACACCUUCUGCGACAACCGAUCCGCCGCUGCCGCCGCCACGAACGCCGUCGCUGCACUAAACGCCUCAUCCAGCUCCGUACACUCCACCCCUUCCCAAUCGUCAUCGUCGUCAUCAUCAUCACCAUCGUCAUCACCACCAUCACUCUCGUUCCUAACACUUCCCACUUCGGCGAUCACCGAAUCCGCGUCGUGCGGUCCCCCGAAAUCAGUGCGGACAUGCGGGUCGGAUUCGGAACCCGAGUCGAGUUUGUUGUGGGCUUGGACAUGGGCUGUUCGGGCUCGGGCAAUUGAAAGGUUAUCUUCUUUGAAAGAAACGACUAAGGAGAUUAACUUAGCGAGGAGAUAAGAGAAGAGAAGACCUAUGAGUAUUGAUUGCAAAAGCUGUUGCCAGUCAGCCAUGGAAUCCACCAAGAUAUUCUCAAGUAAAAAUUAAAAACCCUAACCCUAAAAUUUGAGAGUGAUUGUACGGACAAAAGCGUAGGGAAAUGAAAGCCUAGAAAUGGAUCAUCUUGUCAUCGGAGUUAAACUAAAACCCUAUAAACCUUUUGAAGAUUGAAGAAAAUAAUUUUCUUUUUCUUUUUUUAGCUUUCUUUAUAUUUUUUACUUAUGUUCCUUUUGGGCUGGGGGACCUCUUUUUAGUAGUUUUAACAGGACGAAACUUUGGCGCCGGAGGAACAGUGUGCAUCCUAUUAAUAGCGAGAAGAGAACCAUUACGUGGGUGUAGUGCGCACCCUUGAAUUGGAUCAGGUGUUUCGCGGACUAUGGUUAUUUCUUUUUUGUUAGACAGGUGGCUUGUUUUUAGUCGUUGAAUUUGGUGGUACUGGUAAAAAAAAUAUCGAUCUCUCUUUGUCUUUAUCUCCGGAGAGAUGGUAUAUCACGUGUUUCACACGUGAUGUAUCAGAACUUUUAGUUCACUGUUGUUGGCCUUUAUUAUAUUUCUUUAUGUGGUUGGUUAAUUCUUACAGCCUUUGAAUAAUCUUUUAUUAGAAGCCAUGUGUUACAACUUACUAAUAUUAAUGCAUUAAUGAGUUUUGAUAUCACCCACUAAGUUACGUAAAUAUUAUCACGAAAUUUUGACAUAAUUUAAUCAUAAACAAUAAAAUCUUCAAUCACAAUAAAUAAAUAUAAAAAAUUGUUUUAAAUAUCUAUACUGCAUUUAAAAUUCAUAGCUGAAUUGAUUUUUAUGUUUGGAAUAAUUGGUUGAAUUGUAAAAUAAUUUAUUGAUUGAUUUAUUUAGUUAAUCUUUGAUUUAUAUUAAACUUCACACAAUAGUAACAACAUAUAGGUUGGUAAUUGUUUAAUUAUUAUUAGUAUAAUUUAUUCUUUUACAUGUUACUUAAUAAUCAACCUAAUAAUUAUAAACAGUUGGAAUAAACGACCUUUAGGAUUUGAAUUUAAGUUUUUACAUAAUAAUAAAAUGGAUCGUUUUUGAAUUGGUGUCCCCAUGUAACUAGUUCAAUCAGAUCGGUAGCAAAAAUGAAAAGACUUACCACUACGGGAAUCUAUCUCAAAAUCUUAAAGCAAAACCAUCUUAUGUUGUCUAUGAACAUAGUUAUGCUAUGCGUGAGUGUGGGUAUGCAGUUUGCUACGUUCAUAGCCCAAUUUAAGGAGGGUUGAGGCGUGGAACCGAAUCCAGCCACACUUUCUAUUUCGGUUGCGGCCCACAGUCAACUCUUUCUAUUCGUGAAGAAACCGCAAGCAAUUGACUGGAGGGGUCUGUUUCAAAAAUGUUUUGUGAGAAGCCAACAGUUUCGCUGAUGCUCUAGCAAGAUCGGGGGUGGAGAGAGGGGACAUGUUCUCGGCUGUAUGGUAGGGGAGGAAGUUGCAGUCUGGAACUUAUAUGAAAAGAUAAUAUCAGCUGAUGUGUUCUGGUUUUGUAAACAACUGGCAGUUGGAAGAGGCAAAGGUGAGAAGUCCAAGUAAGGAAUCCCUCUUGCUGUCUCUGUCUUGUAUUUUUGUUGGUUUUGUUAUGUGUAUGGAGAUCGGGGUAAAAGGGGAGCAGAGCAGGCCUGCUGUAAUUCGUAUGCUUCUGCUUUAUGUUGUGUAGCUCUCAAUUAAGGGAGUCUGCGGUUGAUUUUGGACAUUGUGAUAUGGGGGAAGUUUCUGUUGCUGUUGUUCGUUUUGUACCAUUCCAGAGAUUUGGAAUGCGUGAGCUGUUUUAAUCUCUUUAUUUAAUGAAAGCAUAUAUUGUUUGAAAAUAAUAAUAAUAAUAGACAAGUAUUCAUCAAAGCGCACGGAAUUAUACUACAACAUAAUGUCGAUUCAAGCAUUACAUCUUUGAGCUAGUAAAAAAUUUGUGUAUAUAUCUGGAAUGUAAUUCGCUGCGAAUACCAUCACCAUAUGGCCAUGCGUCUAUGUCUAGGCAUGUUACAUCCCUCCUCCCUGUUCCUGUUUUCUUGUCUGUAAAGGAACUAUAAUAACAAAAGCGAAAACAAAAUUGAAACUGAUCAAUCAUUCCUAGUUCUAUGCCCCCUGGUUGUCUGAUUGCAACAAGCUGUCCUCUCCAUCAGCAUCAGUAUUGACACUUUCCAUAGCCUGCAACAUGAAAAGAACAAAAAAGGGUUCAGAGAAAGUUUGUCAAAGAUGAGCUCUAGCAAUCAAAAAUAUGCUACUAGCUACUAAUUAAGAACAUGGAUGCAUCAGAAAGACAAGGGUGGAUAACAGGGCAGUAAGAAGAGGUAUUCGUGAUCUUAAUUACUUGGAUCAACGUCUGUGAUGGCUCCAGUUUGCUCAAAAGCACAAUCAUACUCUUUCCUAUCGGUGGAUUGAUAGUAAGCAUUCAUGGCAAAAGCUGCAUGGGCUCGAACAGUGUUAGGAAGGAAGCAAGCUCCAUCUUCUUGAAUCGGUCCACAGUCCAAACCCAAACCGCACACAUAAUCAAUAUUUCUUUGUAAAGCAUUUUCAUCCGCGCCCGUUUUGGGAAGACACCAUUGUUUUCCCUCAGACCUUGGCGUAGGAUUCACCGGCGCCGCCGUUGGCACUGGGGUUGGGUUGUUAGGAAUGGAUGAUCUAGCCUGCCAAAGACAAACCACAAGAAUAGAUAAAAUUCAUUAAUCAUUAUCGGUAAAUCAAUUUUAUCUAAUUAAUUCAUGAAAUAUAUUUUUCACCAUGAUUAUUAAUUAUUAGAAGGCUGGCUGUAAUGACUAACAAACAUGUAACAUGGUGAAUAUUGGGGCCGGCAGCUACCGUGGGCCUUAGGAUCCCGACAUCAUAAACGGGUGCCAUAUCUGGUUGGAAGAGCCCGAAAUUCCUCUCACAUGUAGGCCCUGGCUUAAGAUUUUCAUUGAAAAGCGCAAAGAUGUAGGUCUCGAAAGUCCGGUUUGGCAUUAGGGGUGUGCCAGCACCAGAUGCUACGUGCCGCAUGAGAUUGCCAUUGUAUUCAGCUGCACUCUCUGCAUCAACACCAACUUGGGUCGAAUCCCCCAUGGAUGGCCAACCAGUUUCGGCUAUGACAAUCUCAAGAUCAUCAAAUCCUACGAAUUUCAUGGCUGAAAAGACCGCAUCUAAUUGAGCAUCUAACAUGUUUGUGUAAUGCAGCUCUGUGUUUUCAUCGAACACUCCUGCAUUAGGCCGAAACAGGGCAUAAUCAAGGGUAUCAGGUGAGCAGCCAAAAAAUGGAUAAGGGUUCACCAUGAAGGGUGAAUUGGUAGCUCUAAGGAAGCUAAGCAAUGGUUUGAGAACAUGAGUGUCAUAGCCUUGUCGAAACUUUCCAGUGGAUGGUGGGCUUGAAUUUGAGAGAAUGCCUAGAGAGUGAGGUGUGGAGACUUGGAUUCUACGGUCUAGUGAAGCUUCAACAAGGGCGGUGUGGAGGGUUUGCACAGCUGGAACAAGACUUCCUAUUAACAGUUUGUUUGCUGUUGAUAUUACUUCAUUGCCUACUAAAAUACGGACUAUAUUCGUGGCUGGUGUGUAAGGUUGGAUAUUGUCUUCCACCCAUUGUUGAGCCAAGUUUAGCUUGGUAAGGCGAGGGAUUUGAUCAUUUGGAACAGUUACUGUGAUAGCAAUGCCAGUGUGGGCAAAGGCUUUUAGAAUGUCAGGGUUGGCGUCGAAGAGCCUAACGCGGUUGAUGACCGUGGACUCUAGAAGGAAAUGCGCCACUUGAGCUGGUGGGGGAAGAUUGUUCGCAACGGUGCCAUAGUUUAUCCCAAUUGUCCCUUCGACUCCUAGAAAAAAAAAGAUAACCACACCAAUUAAUCAGUUAUACAUCUAUGUUGGUACAAAAUUUUUGCAAGUGGAAUAUCACAGUUUUCAUACCUCGGACGAGCGUUGAUGCCAGAAAAAAUAAGAUGGAUGCGACCAAUACAGAAGAAAAGACAGAGAUGAAUUCUUUCGCCAUGGCUUUGGUGGGUAUGGGAAGAUGCUGAAUGAUGCAUUGGGGGCAAACCAUGGCUCAAGAAGUGGAGUGUGAGAUACUUUUCUUUGUGAAUGGGGGAAGGUCUGGAUGCCGUGGCAUGAACCAUGUUUGCAAGAACUUUAUCGUUUGCGCCUGCUUUAGAUGUAACUUUGGAUUAUACCUUUUCCUUUGAUUCUGUUACAUCAUUCUCCCUUUCUUUGCAACGGAAUUUUUUUUCUUGCAACCAAGUAUGGGCCAAUCUUGACAAUGCGAACCGGGCUUUGUGUAGUCAAUCAGCUUGGUAUAUUGAAGUGAAAGUGUCAUCGAGACAACUAAUGAAACUUGUCAGAUCUUACUUUAGUCCACGGCAGGGGAAUAAUCUUUUCUUCCAUGCUGGAGAAGGUAUCAGCUGUCGUGAGUUCCUUAUUAGCUUAAACAAUACGAUAUUCUUCAGCUCCUAAUAUAACCAGUGAGAAUCCUAUCAACUCUCACAACGCAGUAUAAGAGAGCCUAAUAUUCAUUUUUAUUACUUUUUUAUUUGAAAGUUCAAUAUAUUGAGGAAAGGAGAGAACGAAAUUCGCCCCUAGAGAAAGCAGAAGAUUUUAAACUGUUGUCCCCAAGUCAAGAAUAACACUCCCGAAUCCCGGUACACAAACAAAAAGAUCUGUCAGUAAAAGUUCAGCUUACAAAACCUUGCUGAACUCAAGUCCCCCAUCACACCUAUACAAUCAUAACCCACCUUAAAACCAGAAACAGACACUUUCUCAGCCAAACCCAAAAAUACAGUUCAACCAAGAGGCUCAAACAAAAAACAACCCCUCCAAAGAAGAAAUGCCAACUCAUUUUUAUUACUUAUUUGACCUUUUUUCACUGAAUUAAGCUCUUGCUUGUGGCCUGUGUUUGCGAAUCAAAACUAUACUAGCAGAGCUUUAGGUGUCUAUAGAUUUGAUUGUACCAAAUAAAAUUUUGAAUAAAAUACAGUCGGAGAAGUCGCAUAUAUCAGCAAUGAAAAUGAAAAAAAUGUAACUAAAAAAUUUAAAUAUUUCCAUCGAAGCAGAAUGGAAAAUGCUGUUGAGAAAAAACAAUGAAAUCCAGCUCUAGAUUCAUCGUACACUAAAUUAUUACUGAACGUUUUCCCCGACAAGUACCUUUUCAGCAUUUCACAGCUCAGCCAGUUUCUCAGCCUGUCACUUUUUUAUUGGUUGGGCAAGCCUUGUUCUUAUCCUUUUCCUUCCCAUUAAUUUCUUGGCAUUUGUCUACAUCAAAAUGUCCAAAUGCAUUUGAAACCACUCAUGUUACCACUUAUCCAGAGCUACUCGAUGAAAGGCAUUUUGAUUAUUAGUUGCAAUAGUAAAAGCCAAUUCAACCCUACCAACAAGUUUGAUUACUGUUAUUUGAUAAAUGAUAAUCGGUAUUACAUGAUAUUUGAUUCAAUGAUGAUUUAUGUAUUUUUUUUAUAUUUAAAAAACGGGUUUGAAUCCUUUUUCUUUAAAAUGAAAACAAAUGAUAAUGAUUAAAUAAACAAUGAUAUAAUGAUUUUAUGCAGGGGAAAAAUCCUCUAGAGAAACAAGGUGAGAUUUGUCCACAAAAAAGGGGAAAAAGGACGAAAGAAAUUAACAAACAACAUUGUUAGCAUCAAGCAUGUAAGUGUUACUCACUUCAGUUUUUUGUCCCUUCCUUGGUGAGAUGCUAAUAAGCAUUAAGUCUAACUCCGACCAAGAUAUAUGAAGCCUAACUAGCCAGGCUAACAGAGAGCAAGCUCCUAAAACUCACCAUAUAGUAAUGAUGUUAUCAGUUCUGAGGCAAAAAGUUUGUAGUAAGACUCGAUCAAAUACUAAUAAAGUUUUGUGUGUGUGUACGCAAUGUGCUUUAUUUGUUUAUCUGCAUUUUGAUGGCAAGAACCAAAUACUAAAGAUCAGUUGCAUCUAAAAUUUGGCGACACUGGAAAGUGGGAGAGUUUACCUUACAUAGGUACUUACCUACGCUUUUAAUAUGAGGUGCAAAGGAGAGCAAGAACAGCCUGGUAGAGGAACUUCCACUUUUAACAUUGCUUGUUCAAAUGAGCAUCUCAGAAACAGAAGCAUUAUCAGCCAAACUUACAGUAAACAGAGACUAUAUAUAUAGACUAUACUCUAUAUUUUGGACUGAUAUACAUGCAAAUGCAACUGUGAUUGGAAUACUCAUUUGAGCAAGAAACAUUACAAAGAGGAAUUAAGUUACUUUCUCUUCUCUCUCUCUCUCUCUCUCAACCUUUCUCUGAUCUGAAUCAUCCAACACUGAUGACCCCUAGAAUCUAAGGUCCAUUGCUAUAAAUAGAAGGUCCAAGUAUGAGGAGAAAAAAAACCAGUACAGAUUGCUGAAUUACCAAAAUGCCUCUGCCGCAAUGAGGCAUGGUAAACAGAGAAGAAAAGAACUGCUUGUUAGUUGUUUGUAAUUUAAGCCUGUUUAAUUUUCGAAGGACAGUUUGGGAAACUGACUGAUUAGGUGCCAUACUAAUGAAGGGGCUGGUAUAUAUCGGACGGUGCAGAAAAUAGUUGGAGAUUGGACAGUCAGUUUAAAGAGUCUAAAUGAAAAGGAAUUGUAGUUGCUGAAAGAAUGGCAGCUCAAGAUUAUCAAUCCUAACAACCUAACCACCAUCAGUCAAUUAGGAGGGAAAAUAAAACAACCACCUAUGGUGACAAAUCUUUUAUCAUUUCAGAAUCAUUACCUGCAUGCCAUCUUUAACAAAUGGUAAAUUCUUUCUCAUCAAAGCUACUAUUCCCACCAAUAUUUCCUUUUGUAAUUUUGUCUGGUCCAUUGUUUGCUCUAUUACAAGUAUUGUUUCAUGUGAGGUCAGCAUCCACUGGAGAAAGAUAUCAAGUCUGCUGCUGCAUUCUCAGCAGUUUUAAUCUAGGGAAGUUGUGAUUCAAUACGCUAGUAUGUGUCUCCUUUUUCUUCCCACUUUCCAAGCAAAAAAAGAUGGUACGGUAUAUACAGAAUUGCUAUUGGCUUUUGUGCCACUUUGACCUGGGCUUGACUCAAAGUGAUUGAAGUGAGAAUGGAGGUUGAAAACCUGUCUGUUGUAAGGAAAUGUAAAAUGCAUUAUCGGAUUUGAUUUUAACAAGUAUUUGUAGACACUUGUCAACUACAGACUGUACUGCAUUACCAGAUGAAUGAGCCCCCCCCGCCCCCCCCCCCCACGUCAUAUCAGAAAAACUAAAGGGAGGUGACCAUUCAGCUUCUAGUGUACAAUUUCAAUAUGGGGUUGGUAAAUCUAAUAAAGGAGUACACUAGGCAUAUGAAAGGAUGUGGGCGCGUUUGCACCGACCUUUUUUAAGAAGUUGCCCCAUCCUCAUUAACUCUGUCUUUAACAUUUUGGUACUCCUGCAAAAUGGGAAUCACCUAAAGAAGCCAUACCUUAGUUCCCAAAUCUGCCUUUUGGGGUAGGUAAUGCAAUAUAUAGCAAAGUAUAAUUUCUAUUUGAGCUGCUGUCACAUCAAUUACAACUCAAGUGAAUCACUUGAAGUGAUGCCCCGACGUUAUUGAGUUCAAACAUAAUGGAGAACAUGCAAUUUUAAUUAUUAUCUCUGAUUAAAUCUUAUAGAUACAAAAAUGAAUCAACAUUUUGAUGGAAAAAUGACGGCAGUAGUUAUAAAUAAAAACAUGGCCUACCUCUUUAAAACAUUACAGCAACAUCCUUUCUAACAGUAAAGCAAUAACCAUUAAAUUUCCAAAAUGUAGGCCACUGGUAUUUAAUGCAAUGUGCAAUUAUUCAUCCUGUCUUGCUCGUUUGAUUAUGAGGAUGCAAUUUGACAAGAAGCGACGAAUUCAAGAUUUUGAAUAAGAGUUGAUCAGAAGAUAAUUAUAAAAAUAAUAAAAUUAUAUAUAUAUAUAUAUAUAUAUAUUAAUUUAAUUAUAAUAAUAAAANUAUAUAUAUAUAUAUAUAUAUAAUUUUAAACUUAUAAUAAUAAAAAAAUUAAAAAUUGAAAAGUGACAACGGUCGGUCACCAACGUGACCUUCUUGACUUUUACCUUGCUGACAAAGGUUUCGAAGAAGGUACAAACCCAGGAAAGAACAAGUCACGGUACCCACUUCUUUAAUUUCGCGAAAAGAAAUUCUAGAAUAAUCAAAAGGAUGGUAACAUUUCUAACAAACAGACACUGAUGUUAAUAAAUUUUUGUAUAUUGUACACGUAACUAAAUAUUAUAAAAGGGAUAGAGAUAGAGAAGCCAUUUUCAUUUCAAAUAAAAGCAAGAUGUCUUCCUUUUUAAAAUAUACAGCAAGAUCCUUUCUAAAAAGCACGUCUCUCCGUUUACUUUUUUCCUUAGUUAAUAGCACGUAAUAAUCAUUAAAUUUCCUAAAUGAAGGCCACCGGUGUUUGAUGGGCUAUGGAAAAUGAAAUGUACAAUUAUCCACGAACACAUGUGCGGGUCAGCCGAACUAUGGUUACUUCACGGCCACACCAAACAUGUGCGGGUCAGCCGAACUAUGGUUACUCUUUACCCACCAUUACUGUCCUCGUCAGUUACCCCGGUCUUGUAAAACACCAUAUUGCUUGGACUGUUGUAAAAUGGGAAAUGCGCAUCCGGGGAAUCGAACCCCGGUCAGUACCGUGGGAGGGUACUAUGAUACCACUACACUAGAUGCGCUUGUGCACGACUCGUUGUUGGAAAAAAUGCUUGUCAAAAGAAGAGUACGUUGAUAUGCUGGUUGUCUCCAAAUCUUCCUCUGGCAAACUCUUCCUUCUUCAUAAAGUAACUUUGUCAAGCAAUAGCUUACAGAUACUAACUCUUAUGUUUCGAAUCAAAAGGUGGACAAUCCUUUCCAAGGAUUACUAAUUAUUUUUGUACAAAUUGCGGUUCAUGAUUAAUAAAAGAAGCAAAUACAUAUAAAAUUGUGAAAAUUUAUUAUUUAACUGGCUCUUUUACGCAUGAUUCAUUUUAUUAUCAACUUUUUAACAAAAUCAUUAAUGUAAAACUAUUCACUAUUGGAUUGACCUUUAGUUAGAUGACCAAUCUCUUUCGUACGGUUUUCAAGAAUUUUUGCUCUUGCUACUAAUAAACAGGAGUAGUCGCUAACUUCGGUUCAUACGAAAAGAAUUGUCGGAGGUGGAACAUUCCGCUAAGGCAUAACCCAUUUAAUUGGAAACUUGGUCAGUGGAGCAUUUUCUUGGAUGUAGUCAAAUCAAUCCAACCUCACCAUUAUUCUGCCCCAGACAAAACCACUUGGAAGAAAUCAACUAGUGGUACAUACAUGUCUUCAUCUUUUUUCAACCAUUGCCAGUCGAACAUUUGGGCUUCCCAACCACAUUGGAGGCAAUUUUGGAAGGGAUUUGCCCCCCCUCCCCCAAAAACUUGAAGUCUUCAAAUGACAAGUCUUUCUUGGAAAAGUCGCUGUCAAGCACGAACUCUUCAAAAGAGGUUUGCUUGAUAUUAAUGCUUCCCUUUGCACUCUGUGUAAUGUUGAACCUGAGACCUCUUCUCACCUUUUCUUCACUUGCUCAGUUGCUUGGAUCAUUUGGAUGCACAAUUGUAGCCUUUGGGGACUUAGUUGGAUUCACCCGGGUGAUGCCACUAGCUUCUUUGUUUCUUGGCAAAACAAUAAACCACCUUAUGGUUCUCUUGAAAUAUGACACAUGCUCUUCUUCUCUACCUUAUGGUCAAUAUGGCUUUGUAGAAACAAAACCCUUUUCCAAAGUAAACAACUUGAUGUGAAUCAGAUGCAAGACAUUAUCCUUGUUAGAUUAGCCCAUUGGUGCAAGGGCAAGUGGCCACUCAACCACAUUCUAGCAUCUCACUUCCUUUUCGAACCUAGUCGAAUCAGUAUCAAUAUUAGGAAAUGCAAAAGAGUCAUCUUUGAAUGGAUGAGACCAUAACCAGGUUCCUUCAAACUGAAUAUUGAUGGCUCUACCUUUGGGAAACCAGGGCCUGCAGGUAUAGGUUUUGGGGUGCCAUUAAAGACUACAAUGGUUUCAUUAAAGGGGUUUUGUCUUCUCCAUUGGCAUCAAAGACUCCAACUACGCUAAGUUUCUUGCUACAAAAGAGGACCUUUCUUUCUUCUUUUCUUCACCUUGGGCCUCUAGCACUGUCCAUAUUGAAGGUGAUUCCAAAAAUACCAUCACUCGGGCAUUUGAUCACAACUCUGUUCCGUGAAGUUUUUAUUCAACUGUAUUGAAGCGUUCAAAACAAGCUCCAAAGAUCUUACUUUCACUCACAUUAACAAAGAGGCAAACACUUUGGCUGACGGGCUUGCAAAAGCUGGGACUAUCAGGUUCAAUCGUUUUUCGACUUUGUUAUAAUCCUUUGAGCUGUUUUGGAUAACGAGGGUGCUCAAUCUACCAUGUUUGCUCACCUAGUUUGUUCACUCAGUUGAGUUUGUGAAUUUCUAGGUAUUGUCUUGUUGAAAUUUUUUUCCUUUCUAUUGUUGUGGCUUUCCUUUAAGUCUAUCUGUUUAGAACUGUCUCUGGCAGUUUAUCUUUGUAUUGCCUGAUCUGGCUUUGCUUAUUAAUGAUCACUUGCCAUUCAAAAAAAAAUAAAAAAUUGCAGCCUGCAGUAGCUAAACAAGACAGAAGGAAACGUGAGAAAAGAGAAUAAGCUGCAGUCAUCGACAACCCAACUCAGCUCUUCCAUCAGCACUGACGCUUGUAUUUGUACAUAGCUUCUGAAGAUCAAUGUAACCUAUGAUGGUAUCUUCAAAAACUGCAUCUUCAAGCUGAGCAUUAUUAAAAGUAGAACCAGAUAACACAGUGUUCUUAAAAACAGCUCCUCGGAGAUCAGCUUUGUCAAAAUUAACUCGAUCCAAAACAGCAUUCGAGAAGUUUGCACCUGCAAAUAAUUUGGUUAUUGUUCUUCUAUAUAAACCCAUGCCAUGAUCUUCAACAUUUAUGCUGUCUACGACUGCAAAUGAAAAUUUUUUCACAUAUUGCAAAGUCCUCAUCUUUUAUCAAUGAGUCUUAUGUAGAAAAGCACUAUUUAGUUCUUUAAAAAAAGUGCAGUUGUUUUGAUAGAUUUCUCAUUUACAAGUAAUUUUGAAGAACUCAAGGAAGCUAUUGAGGCAAGGAUUUUGAGACAUGCAUAUGUAUGAGUGAAAAGCAACAAAAUGAGUUUAAAAACUUCACUCUUCAUUGUUCUCGUUCUUCCAGUAGUCCAGUAUAUACAGAAUUAUGGACGGUGGCAUUCUAAUUUCAAAAUAACUAUACAUAAUUCAGAUGUUUUCUCACAUUUAAAUGUUAUUUAAUCAAUGUCUUCUUCCUUAUCAUGACCACAUCUUGGAGAUAUGUUGUAGUCAUAGCAAUCAAAAUAGAUGCAUUUUAUUUUUGCAUUUUUCUUGUCAAAUAGUGGCUCUCAACACAUAGUAGUUUUCUCAAGGACUUCAAUUCUUUUGUGGUGCAAUCGCAGGAUGUGCUCAAAAUGAUGAUAGAAAGCAUUAAACAAUCAUUCAUUACUUAAGGACUACAAUCAAAUGCAGUUAACCAAAUAAUUGUGCCAAAGUUGGUCAAACGGAUAAUUUGCACGAGUAGUCUUCUAAGAAAGAAUUAGCAUUGGUCGAACAUUUUGAACUUUAGUGAGGUGGGUGGUUUCAGAGAAGGCAACAGAAAGAAAAUACAGAAGAUUACCCUUGAAGCUAGCUCCAACAGCAUAAGCCUUUGACAUCACAGCUUCUGACAUGUCUGCACCAUCGAACUUAGCAUCUGACAUGAGUGCUGCUGCAAGAGACUUUCCCUUCAGGUUGGAUUUUUCAUUAGUGUAAUCACAGAAGCGCAGAUCAAGGGGCUUAUCAUAUACACCAUUUGCCUGACCUAUCGUAUUACCAACAAAUGCACGCUCACAUCGGUUGGGCUCUGUUGACAGUGGAGGCAACCUCUGCAUAGCAAACAUAUUACAGUUUUGUAGCCUAUAGUUAUCUUGAAAUUAGUAAUUAUUAUGAUCAACGACAUUGUUGUUUGGAAUCACCGGAGGAUAUGGGAACAGUUAUUCCCCACAGGCACUCUUACCAAGUAAAUCAGUUUGUUUAUACAGGAUAAAGGACUUCUGGCAACUUAGAUGACAGUUGAUAGUAAUAAUUAAUUAGGCAAGUUUUCCUAUAAAAUUCAUUUUUUCUUAGUUCUGGCCAAGAUAGGAAAGUUAUGCAUGCAUCAAGUAGAUCAGCUGAUCAACAAACGGUUGACUAGAGUGAGAGCUUUGCUCUGGCAUGAAAACAUAAACACAAGAAAUAAACAGGCAAGGUAACUUGAAGUUUCAAAUAACAAUUAAUUGCAAGAAGGCUUAUUGCCAUGCAUUAAAAUUUAAAAAGCCUACUACAACCACUUAAAGUGAAACUAAUGGAAGCAAUCAAGAGUCCGUAAUUUAUGAUGAAUUGCUAAGGUUUAAAAGGAACUGUGUCCAACAAUUUAGUGUGUCCCAUGCAAUUCUUAAACUACGAGCUGUAAACCUAAGCCAAACAAGUCAUAGGCAAAUAUGCUUAAACAGACCCAGAAAAAUAGUGCAGGUAUUCAACCUGAUUUGCUGCAAUUACAGGUGAGGCAGUAGCAACAGCGCAUACGGCUAGAAGGCCACAAGCUACACUCCUCAGUUCUUUAAACGGUGAUGAGCUUUUCUCGGUCUUGAAAACACAUUUACUAGCUGCUUCCAUGAUAGAAAACGUUAAAAUAAAAAUCUUCAGGAACUGAAAAAAGUAUAUUAGCCAACAAGGCUGCCCAUUAAGUUUCAGACAAUAACUCAAAUCACAAACUUGACUGUCACCACAGACAUCACCAACAAUUGAGAUUAUCCCCACAACAGGAAUUCCCUUUUUAUUUUCUUUUUUUACGACCGUUACUUCCCUAGCUUGAUCCAUUAUUCCCACAGUGAAAAAGAGGAAAACAAUGAAGAAAAAAACUAGUACAGAAUUCGGAAGGUUUUAAGAAAAAACAAGGCAUACCAGAAGAACAGUUGAUUCUGAUAGGUAGAGGGAGUUGAUGAAGAGGACAAUGGAGGCGUUUCGUCGAUAAUUGUCGCAAGGAUAAAGCGUUCUGGGAGAGUGGAGUUGAAAGGGUCGCCAUUUCUGUGUUGUAUGCUUUCUCUUUCUCUCUGAUCUCCCUAUCACUUCAAGUCCAUUGCGAGUUUAUCCAUUGAUGAUGGUUGUAGCCGCAGCAGGCACAUACAUCUAUCUGACCUGGCAUGACACGUAAGAUUAUGUCCUUGGCAGAUAUUCAGUCAAAUUAACUGUUAGGCUACCUAUAAUCAAUGGACCAAGCAGGCCUGCCCAAGCCCACAAGCCUGACACAUAUUGGACAGAGCUUGGGUUAUUGUUUUCAAACCUAUAGAAGCCCGACCAAAAUUAGUUAGGGAUUAGGGCGUUGUUUACCCAAAAACAAAAGAGUCAGAAACCUUAAAUAAAAAGUAAGAGGCAAAAAUAUGAAAAGCAGAUAAAGCGUACGAGAUAAAUUCGUCUGGUUUAUCUUUGACCAUCCGCUUCCUCUUCAAGCUUAACUUAGGGCUUUUGAAUUUCAAGGCCAAGAAAGAUAAUAAUAAAGAAAAAGCAAACAUACACUCAACGCCGAAAUCAAUCGGAUAAUACUUCUGCAAGGAAACCAAAAAAAAAAAAAAGAAUGGAAAAUCAGGGCAGCUGUUUGUCUUACAUGGCGGCGUGGUUGGGAACGAGUGUGGCCCAAGCCUUCUUCGCGUCGCUGGAACGUUGUUCUUGCAUAAACCUCUCUACCUCCGAUGAUGCCGAUGAUUCCGAGGCCCACGAUCGCCCUCUCAUGUUCACCAAUUGCUCCUCCAUCUGCUCAUCUGUUACCUCUAGGACCGACAACCUUCCUCCCAACGACGUCGUUAAUCUCCCCGUCUAAAUCUUGCAAGCCCUUUCUAUUUGGGAAUUGUAUGUAGGAUUUCGUUUCGUUUCUCUUUUUCUGUGAAUCUUGAUAUGAGGGUCGGCUUUUUUUUUUUUAUUAUUAUUCUUUUGUGGUGUUUCUCUUUGUUCAAAUGUUUCCUUGUCUUUGGGUGUUUGUGAAAUUUCCAAAGCGAUCUCGUUUAUUGACUGAAGAUCUUCCUUUAAUUUCUUCGAAAUCAUUCGUCGGCGGAUGAAUUUGAAUCUCUGAAAUUUUAUGUUGUUCUCU
rnacentral:lncRNA from 1 species